rnacentral:lncRNA from 1 species
UUCUUGCGGUAGUGCUUCUUGGGGCGCAUCUUGUAGACGAUAACCUUUGGCCCGCGCAGCUCCUCAAUAACCUCAGCCUCCACAGCAACGUUCUCCAGGUAAGGCUUGCCGACGGUCAGCUUGCCCUCGUGCUUCAGGGCCAGAACGCGGCCGAACUUAAUCUUGCUGCCCACGUCCACCUUCAGGCGGUUGCAGGUGUACCACUUGCCGGGCUCCACAAACAUCUGGGUGCCGCCAAUCUCCACAAUCGCGUAGGUCGCCGGGGCAGCAAUGGUCAGGGGCGAGGGGUGCACCUUCUUCUCCGCGACCUCAGCGGUGGCGGCCGCCUGGCACACAAUAGACUGCUGCUGGCGGCUGAAAGAGGGGGCAGCGGAGGAAACGCGAGCCUUGGCCGCCACGGGGCUAACGCGGCUGGCCACAAAAGGAGCGCUGGUGCGGGAGGUGGCGAAGCCCGCCUUGCGGGACAGCAUGUUUGCGAGGGCCAUUUUGAAUCUAAUUGAGGUGGGCUAAACGGGCUUCCACACGAAGCUGUGCAAAACUUGGACUCCUUUGCAAGUUGCCGAGGUCGCCCAUGCAGCGACUCGCGCGCAUGGUCCCCCCGCGGUGAACAAAUGCCGCUCGCCUUCUCACGUAAACAAUAUAACUUGCUUACCAAUACUGUUUGCAAUCGUAUACGUGCGGCGCAGCGUGCGGGAUACGUCCCAUAAACACCACUGCAUAAUCCGCGUUAGCCAACGAGCUUCCCCAGCGCCCCCGCGCGUGCACUGGCGGCUUUCGGCACUAGCCAAGCCUUUAGGCGUAGACUGGGCGCCUGAGGCGCGGACACACAGCCGCACCGAGACGUUGAGCGUUUCAUCCGAGCUCACUCACGCGCAUCGCCGGCGGGACACUGCGCACGGAGCCCGCGCGCGUGGACACCUGGGCCCCUGCACGAAGGGCCCCUGCGAGACGGAAGCAGAUGGCAGGUGGAAAGUCAAACGGCACGGGCGCGGCGGACGCGCACGUGCGUACCUCGCACUUGACCCUGAAAGCUGGGGAGGACCCGCCCCCGAAUGUUCGCAUCUACAGUGACGGUGAGCCCGGAUACAUGCAUUACACGACAGCAGACCUCAUGCUCCGGCGUAUUAUGACAUCAGGGUGGACGGCUGCUGUGCGGCGUAUAGGGCGGCUACAGCCGUGGGCACAAACGCAGCACAUGCCUUACCUCUCCUCACCUGCAAUGCUACUGCCGCCGCAGGCAUCAAGCCGGACGCGCGGCAGAACCUGCUUGUUCAGAUCCUGGCCGGCAUCACGAUGUCGAUUUAUGUAGGCAAGUGCAUUCAGCUGACAGGAAGGUCUGGGCGCGCUCCCAGGGCUCCAACUGGAUAGUGAUUCCCACACUCGGACAGCGGACACGGCCGCACAUAGCGGUAACAGCACAUUCGGUCGGGGCCUUGGGACUGUACCCGGCAUCUAAGCAUGCCGCGUAACUACUCGCGCACCGUGCAUCCGCAACCAAAACUUUGCCUCCAUUCUUGAGCUCAACCCAACCUCAUUCCUUGUUUGGACGUUCCCCGUCCCAAGGCUUCAUGAACUAUUUCAUGCUGCUGGUGGUGCUCUCCUACUGGAGCCGCAUCUGCCGCUAUGUGGUCCUGGCGCUGCUAGGCACACUGGCGCUGCCCUGCAAGCCCGUGCUGUGGCCUGCCUUCAACAAGCUGUGGAUCUUCAAGACCUGGCGUCACUACUUCCACUACAGGUGCACAGCAACGGGCGGCUGAAUGCCUUGGUGUAUCGCUGGCGGGCAGGACGUGGGCCCGGGUCUGCAUGUGCUGUGCCGCUGCGCUGCGUUGCUACUCCUGCGCUUUGCUGCACGGUCGCGGCGAGCAGCGGCCGGCGAUGAAUUUAGAAGACACUACAAUCUCUGUAUUUGUCGUCAUGCUUCGUGCGUGUAGUUUCCUGAUUGAGGAGCCGCUUGACCCCAACAAGCGCUACAUCUUUGUCGAGUGAGUGCGGGGACUGCAGCACAGGCAUUCUACAUGUGGCCAGGAAGUCAAGGUUGUAUUGUUGGCUUCGGCUACUAGUAUGCUCAUUUUCUUACUCCCAGCCACUUUCGCUGCCGCCCUCACCUUGCAGGUUCCCGCACGGCGCGUUCCCCAUUGGUGAGUGGUUGUUUGUCCGGUGACGGCUGUGCGAUUACCCGACUGGACUGACUGGGGUCACGCAUGGUGCUUGGCCUGGCUCAGCUCCGCAGGUGCCUUGUUUGUCGCAACGCCUUCGGGCAGUGCAGUAAUGCGCCCGCAUUCCUUCACUCGUCCUUCCCCCCGCAGGUCCCAUCGUGGCGGGCACGCUCAUGCAGACUCUGUUCCCGCACAUGAUGAUCUACAGCGUGGCCGCCUCCGUCGUGUUCUACAUCCCCUUCUGGCGCCAUUUCAUCACGUAAGCUUGCAACAGGACAGACUCCCGCUGGGUCUACAGCAGUCGCCGACAUCCCGAUUUCGCUAGGAAGAGCCGUACCAUGCCGAAUAUGCUGCCGAUCUCUCGGAUUCACUGUGUUGCAAACCCUGGGCGCUGUUGCAGGUGGAUCGGCUCGGUGCCCGCAACGCCCGGCAACUUCAAGCGGCUGCUGAAGAAGGGCAGUGUGGCGGUGGUGGUGGGCGGCAUUGCCGAGGUAGGCGCGCCUAGGCGAUGGGAUCAGGGUCAUGCUCUGAGAGGGGUCGCGAAGCCAUUCAGGACUGGCCACUCCGGCCAAACCAGCUACCAUACGCGCUGUUCAAACCCUCCCUUUCCCGCUCCUGCUUGCCCACCUGCCCCGUCCAUCUGCAGAUGUACAUGGGCAACAAGAAGAAGGAGCGCAUUAAGCUAGUGGGCCGCCGCGGCUUCGCACGCAUCGCGCUGGAGGAGCAGGUGGACGGCAUUGUGUGCGUGUACUACUUCGGUCAGAGCCAAGUGCUGGACUUCGGGCCCUCCUGGCUGGCGGACUUUAGCCGCCGCAUGCGCACCAGCUUCGGCUACCUCACGGGAUGGAUGGGGCUGCCGGUGCCGCGGCCCAUCCCCAUCUACGUGAGUGGGGGAGUCGGGGGCCCCGGCCUGGUGGCAAGUCGCUUUCACGAAACUCGGCGCUCUGUGUACAGUAUGUGGCCAAGAAGUAGAGGGGAAGGAAAACGGAUGGCAACCACGAAUACUCAAAAGCCAUACGCCACGGAAGGGUCAGACGCUAGGGAUGUAUCGUUGCUGCUCGGCUGGCGGCCACAUCAUUCAGCACUGCCCGUCACCGGUCUCGCGGCACGUGCGGCUGCAAUGCUCGCUGCAUCCGCGUCAACCUUGCCGCCACUGCUCGUGUACACGCACACGCAGAUGGUGAAUGGGAAGCCCAUCCCGGUGCCCAAGGUGGCUCGUGACUCGCCCGAGUUCGACAAGGAGGUGGAUAAGCUGCUUGACGCCACCAUCACGGAGCUGGGCGAGAUGUACAACAGGCACAGAGGCGAGUACGGCUGGGGCGACCGCCCGCUGUCCAUCGAGUAGAUGCCCAACAAGUGGAUUGGCACAGUGGUGCCCUUGAAAUGGCAUGGCCAGAGUGAAAGCGGGAUGGAUCGUUGGAGAUGGUUAUGGAGGGGAGGAAGGAAUAUCUUGAAAAGGCCACGCGGAUGGGUUCGUGAGGCAUGCAGGGCCUUUCGGGUUGGAUGGGGGUCGCACUAGUCGCACGUGCCGCGUGGGCACGUGUGUGCCGUAAACCUUUUAUGGUAUGGUGUGUCAAGACUAGUCUAGACGUACCGAUGGCUAUAUGGUAGCUCAGCUAUGCGAAAAGCUGCGAAACGGGCUGGCAUUGCCUUUGGGUGAACGUGCAAGUGUUGUGUUUAGAUGCAAGGCAGGUGGAUGCAGUUGUAGGUGUAGCAGACCUUUACAUCAGCACAGUUGGCUAGAUAGGUCGCGUCAGCCAAGGAGGGAGCUCUGCGUUUGAUUGGGUUGAUGCUGCCAGCAGGCGGCAUUAAAAUGGACGUGGCAAGGGAGCAAUAGAGCCUUUGAAAGAAUGCCAUAUCCUGAAGACACACGUGCAUGACGCAAGGGUCCCGUUGCUGAGCUCCUGACUUGAUCAUCCCUUGGAUGCUGUCACGCAAUGUGCUUCAAGUGCGCCGCUACUAACCUACUACCGUAUGGUCACGGGUGCUCAACAUAUCACCGCUGCUGAGCGGUCAUUACCUGCAGCCCAAGUGCCCAACCCUGCCCAGUGGAGGCCCACCCUGGACUUGCGGGUCACCAUCAUCCUCCACAGCCCCACUUGCACAGUCUGACACUGCAGGACAGAACGCGGGGCAUUUAGGACGCGGAACCGCACUUGCUGUAGGAGCGAUAGCAACCAAGCACUUGCCCGAUGUCACUCGGGAACUCGUCCAUGGCGAUGGGCUGGGUUAAGGCGAAAGCCCAUCAAGCGGCUCGAGUGUGCUCGUGGCUGGCCAAGCCAUUAUUGACUGCCCAGUUUUAACAGCAUCUUAUCAAGCCCCGCAUCCACCUAACCAAGCUGUGGAGACACGACAUUUUGGGGGCGCGCACCGUUUGCACAACACGACUGACUGGAACAAGUCUAUCUUACAUACAUACCCAGCAAUGCCAAGCAAUUCUCCGGGCAGCUCGCUGCGAAGCUUGCUGCGGCAGACGAAGGGCGCUAUCGGCCAAAGGCCGUCUUAGUCCGCGCACCGCUGUCAAAUAGGACAGGGUUGUUACGAGUAUAAUUAGAGCUUACUGACCGGUUGCGACUAGUGGACCCGCAGCGGACGAAAUGCCGAGCCAGUACUCGAAGCUGCAGGUUGGCCUGGGUAACCCGAAUGCCUAGUUGACAAAGGGGGCACUGUAAUCGUAGGAGAGGCUUGAAGGGACUCACUUGGGGCCUCGGGAACUUGAGUCGCAUCCCACAUGGAGUUGACCCGACCCUUACUCGACACAGGCAAACAAGUUUGACGCGUGGAAACAUGCGUACAUGCAUUUGGGCAGCCGGGCAGUCACUCUUAAUGACCUAAGACUACAGGUGCGUGAGCAGGGGGGCAAAGGGGGCUCCGGACAAGGUGUGAGGGUAGGAGAGGAUGAGGCAAGCGCGUGCUGUGUAAGUUUGUGGUGGGAACUAGGCCAGCAGCGCGUGGAAGGCGCGUCCCGCGCGUUCGACCCGUUUGUAUAUUUCAAGCCUCAAGGUCGCACGUUUCUCACUCAUGUCAUUCGUGGCACUGUGCACUUGCAGGGCACGUCAGCCUGCAUCCUGCAGCUGAUCGUGACCACGGUGCUGCCAGUCGUGUGGUACCUCAUUGUGAGUGGUGGAGCAGGGAGGAGGAGGUGGAGGAGGAGGAGGAGCAGGAAGGGAGAUACUGAGCAAGAGGCACUAGGAAUGUGUAAACCAGGCGCAGACUCAACACAAGGAGGCAUUGCAUGCGGUAGCAGUGCGCGCUGGGUGUGUAGGCGCACGCGGCCGUGGGCAGCCUCCUCCGUUCCUACUGCACAUGCCGCAAGACUGCGCCCGGCACCGCCCCCUGUGUUCACGGUCUCACAUACGGUACUUGCCGCGCCCGAUGGCCCCCUGCGUCCCUUCGCAGUUCUACAACAAGGACUCGCGCCUUACGCCGGUCCCCAUCCUCACGUGGUCCAUCACAGCCUUAGCAGCAUGCCUGGUGGGUCAGGGCACAGGGACAAAUGCGGGUGCGGGGGAAGGAGCGGCGUGCAGUGCCGGAAAUGCUAGCUGCUACCAGUUGGCUAUGCAGACAGCAUGGGUCUGGCCUGGGCUUGGCAAGGAGUCGCCCGCCGGCGCACGAGGACGCAAGUGUGCGAGUCCAUACGCCCCGCCGCAAACCAGUUGAGCCAACCCUGGUUCCCGCGCACCGCACGCACCGCGCAGGGCAUCUCGGGCUUUGUAUUCCUCAAGUCGCUGCUGCUGGGCCUACACGCGGUGCUGGCGCUGGCGCUGAGUGCGGCGUUGGGCGUGUUCCACACGGAGCUCUACAUGCUGCUGGUGGACCGGUGAGUGGGGGCCCAAGAGGGGGGCGAGGGAUGAGAGGAGAGGGGUGGGAGGACGGCGGAAGAGGAAUGCGAGGUGUGAGAGGAAAAGACAGGAGAAGGAGGACGGGUGAUGGGAGGCGCAACAGCUGGCAGCAGGGAGCAACUAAGUGGCAAGUGAACUAAGAGCUAGUGGCGAUUAGGGACGAGGUCUCCUAAUUUGCCAAAGGAGACGGGUAAGUGGGAACUGUGGGCGUGGUAACGUGUGCACAUUAAAGACGGUCAGGAACAGUAGUCAAACGCCUCUGCGCAUGCUUCACACCUCGUAUUGAUUUGCGCAUUGCACCCGCCCUCCACGUCUGCCCUCCCGUCCCAACCACCCAACCCUGCAAACCCCCCUCCCCCUGCGCGGCGCCUGACCCGGCGCCUGCCCCACGCCCUGCCCCGCACGCAGCUGCGAGCGCACGCAGCUUAGCUUCAGGGGCUGCUCCACAUGCGCCUGCGCCGCAGCCAACAACUGCACCCGCGCCGCGCUGGCCACCGGCGCAUGCGUGGGCUGCAAGGCCUGGUCCACAGAGGUACGCGAUGAGCGCUGAACACACGGCCCGACGCAACCUACUGGGUUGGCGCCUUGGCACCUCUGGUCGAGCGCACCGAUGCAGCCCAGCCGCAACGUUUUUGGAUGCUUGGCAGACAGCAUAGCAUAGCGUACCUAGCACACCGCGAGUCCCUCCCUCCCUCCCGACCCACUACCUCACCCAUCAUCACCACCCAUCCCCAUCACCCAUCCCAGCGCACACCUCCACAAUGCCCUCUCCCUUCCGAUGCAACCCGGAUGCCUCCCGCCAAGCCUGCCGCCCCGGCCUGCCACUCCCCCACCCACCCACCCCCGGUGCAUCCUGUACCGCUUUUCCAAACAUCCCUGCAACCCCCUCCUCCCCCCUCCCACACACACACGCAGGUGUGCUCCGGCGUGGACACGGCCGCCUCCGCGCUGCCCUACAUGGGUGUCAUUGAGCUGCUGUUCAUCGCGCUGCCCGCCGUGUGGAGCUUCAUGGUGCUCAUGCGCAUGGAGAAGGAGCACAACGACGCCGCAAACAAGCUGCUGUACGCGCGCUCCGUGGUGGGUGGUGCUGGGGUGGAAUGGGAUCGGAUGGGUGGGCGGGCGGGCGGGCGAGGGUAACGCGUAACGUGAGUGGACGGGCCGGGAUCACCACAAGCCAUCCCCACGAUUUGGCUCCGCUGGUUCUGAUUCUCCGUUGUUAUAGAAUGAUAACCCCUCCCCUCGUCACGCACCACCGCCAUCCCUCUGCACGCCGCACACGCCUGCCUGCGUGCCGCACCCUCAGGUGAACCGCGAACUGGACCGGCUGGAGGCCAAACGCGGCCUGGACGUGGAUCUGAUGGUCUUCAAGCAGCUGCUCACAACCAUGCAGGUCAGGGGGGAGGGGAGGAGGAGAGGGGGAGUGGAGAGGGACCAAAGGGGGGAGGGCGGAGCGGGGGAGGGGGUGCGGGCUGGCAGGUAGGAUGGGGCUUCAGGCAUACAGCGGUGGUGGGGGCGAUGGCGGAACAGGGAAAGCGUUGCAUAGAUUGCAUGUUAGUUGCCGGGUGGCUCGCCUCAUCAGAUGCGGUCGCGUGAGCCUGUCAGCGACGCAUGCGUGUGCGUGUCAUUGCGGCGCAUUUAGUGCACACAUAACGCCAUGCAACCAACGGCAGCGCCGCACUUGAGUUUCUGAGACCGUCACUCGACCCGCCUCCUAAAGAGCAGUUCCUUCUGCGCACCGCCCGCCACCCCCCGUGCAGCGCCUGGGCACUGCUCGCGACCGGGCCGCGGUGAGCUCGGCCUGCGAGCUGCUGGGCCUGGAUGCGGAGCUGCUGGCGGUGGAGUUUGACGAGGAGGCGGGAGGCAGGUGAGCGGCCGGAGGGGUACGGGGGGGUGGGGAUGGAUGGGUGGGUGGCGGGUUGGGCGGGGAGCGGGCGUGGCUGAGCAAGGCGUGUUGUCGGCCUCACUGCGGGCCGAGCUGUGGCCCAAGGUUUGUACUGCUGCUGCCUGUACCACCGUGCGCUGAUCCAGGCAGCAGCAGCAGCAGCAGCGGUAGCGGCCCCGCAUGAUUGCUGCCAUGCCGGCGCACGUAACGCACCUCGCGCACACCUGUACGCACUCUCACCAGGUACGGCAGCGCGACCGCGGGCGGCGGGCAUCACGUGGGCCCCUCCUACAAGGUGGGCUCCGUCACCACACGGCACGAGGACUACCUCAAGCACAUGGCGGCGCAGGGCGGCGGCGGCUUCCUCAACUCCUCCGUGACGCUGCCGGCGCCGCCAGGCACACCACAGGUGUGUUUAUAGCAAAACGAGCGGUGUGUGCGGCAGGGGAGGUUAUCAUCUUUGGCGCAAUCCUUCGUGCCGGUCCGCGCCCCAUUGCGCCGUGUUGUGUUGUGCAGCGGUUUGUGCACAGUGGACAGAUGUUCGGUGUUCGUCUCUUGACCAGUCGUGUCCUUGUCGUUGGUUGGGCUGGUCGAAGCCCGAGGGAACCUGUUGCCUGUCACGUGUUGCGACACGUCCUACUACUCUUACGCCGUGCAGGGCAUCGCGGCACACGCCAUGCCGCAUGCGCCGCCUCUGUCCAUGGCCGCGCAUGACCUGCAGGGUGGGUGGAGAAAGGCGCUCUCGAGGUCUCGAUCGAUGUCCCAUGUGAACACGAAAGCUACACCUUGUGUCGCAUCACUCGCAUGUUUAUAGCUCAAUCAUAUACAUUGUCUUACGUGCACGUGCCUCACUGCAAAUCGGUGCCCCUAUUCCUUUGCAGCCGACCGUACGCGUGCUCGGGCGGAACUGCCGCACGACCCCAACAGCCCGGGGCCGUCAGGCUACCGCGAAACGCCGGUGGAGCAGUGGGACGAGUAAGUCGCUUUGCCAGAUGGCCUUGGAACAGGAUAGGACAACUCAUAUGCCUAUGGGAACGGCGUGGUGUGGGACGCCAUGGCUCCACCAAUAUGACCAGCGUUUGGACGCAUUGCCACCAUCCACACAAUCAAACCCGGCCCGUCCCUAACGACCCCGCUCUCCCCACCCGCGCUGCUGUGUUGUCCGCUCCCGCCCCGUAGGGACCCCGAGCACGGGCAGUACGCUGAUGACACAGACUACUACGACGAGAGCAGCUAUGAGCACGGCGAAUACCCGGAGGGCAGCGAAUGGGUCACCGACUACGAGGACGGGCCCGCAGCCAUUGCGGCAGCAGGCGGCCUGGCGGCUGGAGGCGCGGCCGGCGCAGCAGCAGCAGGAGGCGGUGCCGCCGAGGGCGAGGCGGCGCCGAAAAAGAAAAAGAAGAAAAAGAAGAAGUCGGAGGCUGGCGCGGAGGGCGAGGCGGCGGACGGGACGGUGAAGAAGAAGAAAAAGAAGAAGCGGGCCAGCGUGGAGGGCGGGCCGGAGGGCGGCGCCGCUGGCGCGGCGGCAAGCCCGGGUGCGGAUGCAGACGCGGGUGGCGAGGCCGCUGCGGGCACGAAGAAGAAGAAGAAGGGCACCAAGAAGGGCACCAAGAAGAAUGCGGUGGUGCCGACGGAUGCGGCGGACGCGGGCCUGCCGGGCGGUGUGAUGAACGACAUGGACCUGGGCCUGGUGGAUGCAGCGUUGGAGGAGCUGGAGAUGGGCGUCGCCAAAGAGAAGAAGGCGAAGAAGAAGGCCGGUACGGGCGGCAAGAAGGCGCGAAAGAGCGACGCGUAGCAUGUUGGCAUGUGUGCAUUCAGGUGCAUUUAAGAAUGGUGCAUGCGUGUGACUGGACAUGGGUGAAUGGAGGAUGGGCGAACGAUGCAUGCCGGAUGAGUGGCAUAUGGGCGCCGAAGGAGGGUGCUGGGUGCACGUGCACACUAUCCCCAGGGCCAGAGCGAGGGCCCAAGGCGGCGCUAACGACAUACUGCCCAUGCACACAUGAGGAGCCUUGAGGAGGAAUAAUGCAGCUAGCUGCUAGCACAGACAGACGCUGACUGAACCUGGUGCAUGGGACUGUCACUGGCACUAUGCGGCAGGCUGUGGUGCCGUGUCGGCUUGAUUGGGUCUGCCGAUGGGUCCGGGAUAACCCUUAGGACUCUACACCGCACCUCUCCCAUUAUGGCGGCCGUGCCGCUGUUGAUGAGCGUCCUGCUGCCCGUGCUGGCGGCUGCAUGCGCCUGAGGGCACACCUGCCACUGCCAGCGAUGCGGUUGAUCACUAUGCUGGCGGGCUGAAGGUGCCGGAGAGCAGUACAAUGGCGGUAACAAAGAGUGCCGCAUGAUCUGACUAACGCACGCAUGGAGGCAGGGACGUGAAACCGGUCCGAAUGUCCGAUACUACCGUAUCCCUGGAUGCACGGGGGGAAGGGGCGGCCAGCACUUUCACAUUUGAGAACCUUCCCAAAUGCCGUACGUGAUGCAAUUUCGCCUAGGUUGCUGUAUGAGUGUAUGUGACCUGAAGGAGUGCUCAGCAAAGAUCCAUGAGGCUUAGAUAGCUAAAGGGGCGUCGCUGCCAGUCGUCUACACUUAAGCCCCCAAGCCCCCCAAAACGUCUACGCUUCCCCCAUUUUUGCGCCAAAACCGGCCAAAAACGUCUACACCUGCAUCGAUGCGCGGCACCCAAACCCAAAAUGUUUUCUCCGCCUUCGGCGGAUUUUGGACAGAUUUCUACAGUGUAGAUGGAAGAUACGAGCACCGGUUACCGGCUGUUAUGUUGGCCUUGCCACCAUCGGUUAGCACGUGAUGUGCAGCCGACUUGAACGUGAACACGUCAGAUGACGCGCUAUUCCGUGCUGUAAGCAAAUGUCCAACCUCGUCUGCGCGGCCGCAUCGUGAGCUAUGCUAGCCUUCCACAGAAAAAGCAGGUCCUUCCACAGAAACAGCAGGCCCCGAGUAAGUGGAAUCCGCAGAAGUAGUGACCUGGUUGGGGGUGGGACCGCAGACAGACACCAUGCCGCCAUGCACACGCGUGAAUGCAACGUGGGAAACCCGCCGGCAUAAUAACGCCCUACCCAGCCCUCAGGGCGGGCGCGACUGGGCUGCCACCAAAUCCAACGUGCCUGGCUAUCAUCAUGCCUGAAGCCUGCAAACCUGGCCUCCCCUCCACCCCCUCCCGGCCCUCGCCCCCCUCGCCCAUCCCUCCCCCUUGAUGGGAACGCUUGGGACAAGACCCAGCUGCCUGGACCUUAGUCACCGCCCUGCGUCAUGUAGGCGUGUUAUAGCCAUUCAUGCGAACGGUGUCACAGUGUACCUCAAAGAUGGAAGUGCGUGGCAGCUUGGGGCGUGUAUGGCCCAGCCUGGGUAGUCACACCCUGCGUCAUGUAUACGCGGCUCGAGAGGCUAAGUGCAUGCACCGGAUGUAUGGCCAGAUGAAAGGUUGCAAUUUGCAAACAGGCCCAACGGACCAUAGUUGGUGUACAUCGCGAGCGUGGCGACAUGCAUUGAUGUGCCAUGGGUCAGCAGCAGGCGGCGCGAAACUUUUCCUGUUGCCAUAUUCCCGUGUUGACGACAACUAAUCCCGCUCCCACCCGGCCAUUUGUGAGUAGAUUGGGCGUGCCGUUUGACCCGUGCAUCAUAUUCACACAUCUGCGUUGUGCGCAAUCCUGUACACACGCCUUGCAGCGCAUAUUGCAUGCGUAUGAAUACACGAUCCUGCCUGACCUGAACUACGAGGCGAGAUUAAUCCCUUGGCACUCAAUACUAUCCUCAACUUGGUCUUGGGCCAAAUGCUGGGACAUGCGGUCCCAGUGCACGUGUCUUGGUCACGCACAGGUCCGGAGGUAGAUGCCCAAUGCACCAUCCACUCCGUUUCCAAUCCGUCGUCCCCACUGUCGGGCGGACAUAAUCAAGCCCAGCCCCAGGUCACAGUGCAGUACGGUAGUCUAAGAAGCAUCAAUCCCCACUUUUAAUCAAUACUCGAAAGCGUCAUGCUCGACCAUGACAUGAUGAAUAGCCAGCGCCUGGACUGUGGUAAAGCUGUCUCAGGCACGGCAAUAUUCUCAGAAGCGCCGGCUACGGCAGCAGCGUUGUCGGGUAGGUCGGGCAGCAGUCCAUACUGUUGUCAAAGAUGGAGCCGUGGCUGCGAGGAGCGGGCAAGGAGGAAGGCGGCAUGUGGUCACGCACGUCAGGAUGGGUGACAAACGUUUUAUCAUGUGCUGUCAUUGCACCAGCGCCUGGGGGUUAAACGCACGCCGGUGCUCACCGGGACGUGCUCUGCUCAUCCCGCCGUCUCAUAUGCCAGCCUGGGGGGCCAUUCCCUCGCUAACCGACCCUGCUGGCCUAGGCCCUGACCCGCUCCCCACCCCCCAUGUGUCUCCGCCCUUGCUUGGUCCCCGCCGCACUGCUGGCACCGCGUAUGUACGUAUGUGCAGUGCUUCCGUCGCUUCCCAGUCACCCCUCCCCCGCCCCACCCACCAGCCCGCACCCACCAAGUGUCGGUCUCCGGGCCCAAGCAGAAGUCAUCAAUGGACACCGAGGCCUUCAGCUCAAAACAGAUCUCGCCCUGGCUCGCCUGCUCGAUGCUCCAGUCCAGGGGAGUCACUGCAAAGAUUGCAAACACAAAGAGGGGGCCCAGAGCACGAAAAGGGGUAAGGAGGGAGUCAAGAGCCCAGAGACCGGCAUACAGUCAUGCCAGGAUUGGGCUCAGCCUGCCAACCUGCUUCCAGUCCACUUCCACGGCCGCCUUGCUGCAUACCGUCAACCAGGCACUUCCCACUACGAGCCCGCCGCGGCCAUGUAUGUGCAGGCGGUACACGCGGCACCGGAAGCCCCGCUAGCUCGCGCUCACCCUCUGCUGUGACACCUACCGUGAGGAAGCCCCGCUCGCGCUUUCACUCACCCUUGAAUGUGGUCUGGCCCACGGCGCCCCAAGUGGAGGCCAGCCAGGUGGCACUGCCGCCCUUGGGCUUGACGCGCACGCCCAUGAUGGCGCGGCGGUAGCUCUCAUCUGCGUUACAGGGCAAACGGGAAACCCGGCAUAUGGGUACCUUGGGUACGCAAUGACUCUAAGAAGCAAAGCAGAGCAUGGUAACUGGCUGGGGUGAUUUACCGGGUAAGAAGCAAAGCAGAGCAUGGUAACUGGCUGGGAUGAUUUACUGGGGGAAGGAAGGGAUUAUGUCUUGCGCCCCGCUGCCAAUGCAUGACGGCAAUGUACCGCCAUACAGAUUGCGCCAAAAGCUUCAGGGCACGCACAUUCCCUACUCACCGGCAAAGAAUUCAACCUUGUUGAGGUUGGUGCUUUUGGCGCACUUGUUCUGUAAGACCGUACAGCAUCACAGCAGGUACGAAUGUCAGCAAAGGGGGCAGCAUGCAGAACUCCUCCUUUCCACCCUGCGCUGGCAGCCGCCCUGCCUGCUGGCUCGGGUCGCAGCGCAAAGUGCUGCUCGCACGCUGCCCUGCCCUGCCCUGCCCUGCUGCACACACUGCCCUGCCGCGCACACACACACACACACACACACACACACACACACACACACACACACACACACACACCUGGGGGUCGACAAGCUGGUCGCCAGAAACAGUGUAGGUCUGGAAGCAGUACAGCAGUGUGUUGUUGGACCGGCCCCGGCCGGCCUCCAGGACGUACGGCACCAGCGCGAAGGGCGUGGAGAACUGCGUCUUCUUGCACCUGCAGGCGCGGGGCAGGAGUGGUGGUCGUGCGUGGCGUUACUGGUGUUGGUGGAGUGUUGGUGUGAUGUACAUGGAUGUGUUUGGUGCAUUGUUGGUGGCGUAAGAAGGAAAGCGGACAGCAGCUUCCAACGCCGUGCCAAUGCACGGGCGCAGCAACAGCCACAACACACCAGACCGUAACAAUUCCAGCAAGACAGUGCCUCAGACCCCGCGCCUGCCGAGCCACCGUUGCAACAUCCCGACACGUGCCGCGCGACUCACUGGGUGUGGGUGGGGAAGGGCACGUCGUCGAGGGCGCAGGCGCGCGAGGAGGCGCCCAUGCUAAAGCACUGGCUGUUGGCCGAGGUGAUGGAGAACUGCCAGCCUGCAGGGCGCGCAGCAGAAACACACGCGCGACAGCGCACACACAGAACGUCAGUGGCUCGGCACGCUCUCGAGGUGGCCAAGCAACCCAGACUUGCUGCGUGGCGUGCAGAACCGUGCUGAGUCGCAUUACCGUGCCCUUCUUGCCGCCCCUUCACCCACCCAUCCAACCCAUCCCACCCAUCCACACCUACCGUGCCAGUAGGACGAGCAUGCGGGGCCGGUGAUCGACUCCAUCCACACGUUGUUGGCCUGCUGCGUGGCCCAGUCCUGCAUCUUCUUGGCAUCCGCUUCCGUGUGGAAGCUGCCGCAGGUGGUCCACCUGCUGGAGCCACAGCUGGCGGGCGUGUAGCUGAAGCCCUGGGCCAGCUUGAUGCCCAUCUGCUCGGCGGCGUCGUUGACGUCGCCAGAGAUCAGCUGUACGGCAGAGGUGGGGACAUGGUGGGGUAGGUUUGCCUGGCUGGUGCUUGGAGGUUGAGGCGUGUGCAGUUGUGGGUACGGUGUAGAUGCACCAUUGUUCGGAAAGUGUGGGCUUCGCAGGACCCGAGUGCAUGAAGGGGCGCAUGUGGGCAGACACUGGGGUGGGGGGAGAGGUAGAUAGGCACCGCGGCCCCGAGGGCGGUCCAUUGACCAGCAUCCCAGGAGCAUUGCCUUAAGCAGCCCCCAGUUGCCAGCCAGCCUAGCUUCUCUCCGCCUCAAACUGUCCCCUCCCUCUCAUAAACCGCACCCCCAGACCCUACUGCCCCGCAGGAAGCCACCCCCUCCCUGCCCUUCCCAGACACCCCUCUCCCCCCCCCACACACGCACAUGCUCACUGCGCCACCUACCCCCAGGCUGUCCAGGCAGCGGCCCUGGUUGAAGUAGUACCUCUUUAGGAAGUCAGACCUGCGCCAUUGGAAGCAAACGCACGGCACGGUGUCUUGGGUUAGUGUCAGUUCUUCCCGACCACGCCCGUGCCGGCUGAUUUACACCGACCCCUCGUUACUAGCGCACUGUGUGCUCCCGCCUACGCAGCCACAGUCCACCUCCAAUCUGCGCGCAUCGCCGCUCUGCCUUCCCGCAAUGGCGGGUUACAGUGCCGGCAGUGCGGUUUAAGCUAGCACUCGCGACUGGGACAGCGACGAUAGGCGCCCCCGCGCACCAGACGAAAACGGGGUAUGAGUCGAUGUUGAAGCUGAUGCAAGCCUGGCACACCUGCAGUCAGGACGGAGCCGGGUCCAGGAUGUUUGUCAGCGUUAUGUAGAAUGAGUAGAACAUAUUGGCGUUAUGUUUAUGUAGCGGGUUUAGGACGCCAGAUGCAGUGGUGAUGGCUGGGCGCCCUUACCGGGGGAGGAGGGGGAGGGGGCGACGGCGGGGGCGGACGAGGAGGGGGCGGGGGAGGGGGUGACGGCGGGGGAGGGCGGGGAGGAGGGGGAGGGGGCGGGCUGGGAGGAGGCGGCGAAGGGGGAGGCGGGCGAGGGGGCGGCGGCGGAGGAGGCGAGGGAGGGGGCGGGCUGGGAGGAGGUGGGGGAGGGGGCGAGGGAGGGGGAGGAGAGGGCGGGGGCGGGCGGGGAGGGGGAGGGGGAGGAGGCGAGGGGGGCGGGGGAGGAGGCGGGCUGGGAGGGGGCGGGGAGGGAGGAGGAGGGCUGGGAGGAGUGGGAGGAGGUGGCGACGGGGGAGGAGGGCUGGGAGGAGGAGGCGACGGAGGAGGGGGAGGCGGGGGCGACGGGGGAGGGGGAGGAGGAGGCGAGGGAGGAGGGGGGCUGGGAGGAGGAGGGCUAGGGGGAGGGGGAGGGGGAGGGGAGGGAGGAGGGGGAGGAGGAGGUGAAGGAGGAGGGGGCGACGGGGGAGGGGGGCUAGGUGGAGGAGGGGACGGGGGAGGAGGGGACGGGGGAGGAGGAGGAGGGGGCGAGGGAGGUGGGGGAGGAGGAGGAGAGGGAGGGGAGGAGACGGGGAGGGGGCUAGGGGAGGGGCGUAGGGGAGGAGGAGAGGGGGAGGCGGACGUGGGGGAGGGGAGGAGGAGGCGAGGGGGAGGAGGAGGAGGAGGCGAGGGAGGGGAGGGGGAGGAGGGGAGGGGGAGGGGAGACGGGGAGGCGGCGAGGGGGAGGGGAGAGGGAGGAGGGGGAGGGGCGGGCUGGGGGGAGGGGGAGAGGGAGGAGGCGGGGAGGGAGGAGGAGGAGAGGGAGGAGGGGGAGAGGGAGGCGGGGGGCUGGGAGGGGGAGGAGAGGGCGGGGGCGGCGACGGCGGGGGAGGGCGGGGCGGGGGCGGGCUUGGGAUGCCGGGGGUGGAGAGAGGGCAGCAAUCGUUCUGGCUGUCGAACAGCGCAGCCGAGCACACGCCCUUGGGCAGGCCUGCGGGCGGCACGCACAGCUGCUCCAGGGUCGUGCAGCCGGGUGCGUUCUUGCCGGGGGCCAGCGUGAUGCAGAUCUCGGCGCCGUCGCUCCACAGGCCCAGACCCAGCUGUGUCAGACGGAGCACGGUGCUGCCGGCGGGGCCGUCCGUGGGCUGGUCAAACGAGGUGCCGACCUUGGUCGGGACGCCGUUGACCGUGGCCUUGACCACAGAGCCAAACACGUCGCACGCCGUGUUCACGUUGAACUGCGGGGGCGGGGCGGGCACGAGCGUGGCGCACAGCACCGGUGUCAAACCAAGCAGCUCGGGUUUGCUCGCCACACAGGUGCACCUGCCCCACCGUCAUCAGGCUACCCUUUACUUGUUGUUCAAUUUAAAUGCGUAGUGCCACCUCUGCACGCAUCAAACAUGCACCGACAGUGCCGCCCAAAUAUCCAUCCCCUAGCACCCUCAGCCCCACUCCACGCCACUCCGCGCCACUCCACGUCACCCCACGCCACCCGGCCGCCCACCACCCGGCGACCCACCUCGAUCUUCUUGAGAUCCGCCUUGUUGCAGCAGUAGUUGUUGCAGCCCGCAGGCACCUUGGCGCUCAGCCGGAAGCAGUAUUGGCUGUUGCCCUGUUCGUCCGUGACAACAGAUCAGCGGGCAACAACAAAGCUCAGGCCCAAGUGAUCCAGAGGUUUGGAGUCAACAGAUGCCUUCAGCCGCCGUAGAGGCAAACAACAAGUUGCCGAAAGUGUGUUCAUGACUAUGCCUUGUCGCGCACUACGCGCACCCACCUUCGCGACGACCACAUCCGCAAGCUUGUAAGCCGAUGGCGACUUGAUGCACUGCCGGGCGUAAGUAAACGGGGCAGGGCAUGGGAAACCGUGUCUUAGAAGCUGACAACCUGGGGCCUGGACCAAACAUACUUGCAGCAAUUCGACCCGGCUAACGACGGGCCAGGAGCAGCAUGGUUGGUAGUGGCAGCAGGGCAUCAAGUGGCAAGCAGCUCCGGCCGUCUCCGUCGUCCACGUUCCGGCGGGCUUUGCCGGCCUGGCCACUCGAUUCGCCUGCCACGGCCUGCCCACCCGCAAAGCACCCGCCCUCGCCCCCGCUUUGCUGAUGUUCCCCAAAGGCCUGAUCGUCGUUGAGCGCUGCUCAACGUAUCAUAGCACGAGUCGCUAAGUACCCGGCAAAACCUGGCGCGAAGCUACCGCCCAACCCACACCAUGCUCACUUUUCCCGCGGAUUUACCUUGCAGAAAGGGAACUGGGUGUAGAGACCGCUCUGUGCGGCAGCAGCUCCAGACGCCCUGUACCGUUUGGUAUAAUAACACCGGUUAUUGCGUGGCGUUGGCGCGGGACCUUGCAAGCGCGUUAGCGAGCAUCAAUCGGCGCUUGCAACGCUGGGCCUUCCGAGACUCGAUCACAAGCUGAUGCACUACUGCUAGUAUUUUCUCACUAACUAUCUACUAGCAACCAGCCACGCCGAAGAAGCAGGCACGCGGCCACCUCGGCGUGUGAGCGUGGAAGAAGCAGCCAUCUAUAGUAUUACGCCUACAUCAGGCUAGAUUCACGAAACUCACAGCAGAAAAGAGGAGAGCGCUACUACCGCCAAAGCCCGAAGGCCCGAGGCUCCGGACUGUCGACCCAUCGUGCCAGGGUCAAUUUUACAGCCUAGAGACUUAUUUGAUUGGAGUGUGUGCGCCCGGGGGUAAAUCAAAUGGAAAGGCCAACCCAUUGCGGCCCGAUGCAGCAUGGCGGGCGGGCCAGUAUGGCUUGGAUUUUUCUUUGCCUUCAAGCGAAGACAUUAACGCGAACUCAGCAUGUCCAAGUGUGACGUCACUGGGGUUCGCGGUGGCCACUCUGACGGGCUUCGAGUAACCGAGAGCACAUUUCUGGCGCAUUUUAGUCCAUUUAUGUAAUUGGUGCUUGGCAAAUAAUUUCAUCGUUCAAGACGGCGUCAGCCACAUCAACAGCCAGCUAUGCGCCCUCUGUCGGGCGCGCGCGUCGAAUGCCAACUGCCAUGGAGAUUCCUACCUCUGGAGCGUGUGCGUCGUCAUAUGUCAAGUGUGGCCUUGAAAGCAACUUCGCGUGCGCCAGAGGUUAGCUGCGAGAGGUUAGCUGCGAGAGCCAGGUCGGCCCAGUUUAGAGGAGGGGUUCGGCGAACCGGGCCCCGCCUCAGGGAGCAGGGCCGCACUGACAAGGACCGACACCGUACAGUAGAAAGGUAGUGCAGUUGAUACAGUCACCCAGGUUGACCUGGGCUGACAUCCAAACAACACGGGGGUCUGCCCACUUCGUCUGGUCCAUCACGGUCACAGAUUACACUUUACAGAUGUGUUUGGGUUUGAGGAUGAGCGUGAAGAGCUGGCCCGGCACGCACCAAGCUGCUGGCGCUUGCUCGACACGUACGCAUUGACAAGGGGUAGUUGGCGAGAAGGGGGAAUCAUAUGCAUCCCCACGCGGCCAGACCCACCCCCGGAAACGCCCAAUCUUUCUCGCCUGAGGACCUGCAAUGGGCCCCGUUUCUCGCCGCUCCCCGCAGAUGCAAGCCCUGAGCGAUGCCCGCCCGCUCCGUGACUUUGGCCGCCCGGCGACUCCAGUGCAUUACAUCCCAGGCCACGGGAGCCUGACGGGAGCUAGCUUGGGCAGGCCACGGUCAUGGGCUAUCCACUGCAGCUUGUCGGUAACGCAAGGUGUACAGGAUGAGUAACAUGUCAGGAACGGUACCUGGGUGCGGAAGGAUGAGAGUUGCCGGAGGGGGGGUGCCGGAGAAGGAGAGGGUGAGGGUGACAUGCAGCCCCAUCGUGGCGCGAAUGCAUGUCAAGCUUCGGCGCUCUACAUGCAGCAAAACAGAACAAACUGAAUUAAUGAUGUGGGGGCUGUGCUUGAUUGUUAGUCUUGUCUUGUAACGCGAUGGCGAAGCGGAAGGCGCCGCAGGGAAAUUCACAUUUCGUUGUACCGAGCGUCAUACGCUUUCUCCUGUUAAACCAAGAUAGUCAAGAUGGAUUCUUUGAUUCGGCUGGAGACUUUUGUAUGCGCGUCGGUGACGUGCGUGCUGGCGUCCGGUCCGAGUGCGGGAACUCACCCUGGGUCGCGGACUGGUCGCGCCUGCUGUUUCUGCUGGGCACCUCUGGUGUGCUGCAGGUCUUCAAAUCCCAAGGCGAUAACUAUGUCCGCCUUUCCAGCAGGUGGGUGAACUAUCAAAUGCAGUGGGAGUAGCCGGGCAGGGGGCAAAGAAGCGGGGCAUGUUGUGCGGGCACCAGGCAACAAGACAUCGGGACGGCCUCCCCUUCCGCAACUCUCACUCCUACACGCUACCGCCGCCCACCGCACUUGCUGGGGUGAUACCACAUCCACACUAACCCGUUGAUGCAGCGAGACUUCUGGGUCUGGCAAUAGGUGCAGUAGAUUUCAAUCCUCUGCGCUUCGCUCCCCCUCUCAUGUUCGUUUUGUCAGGUACCUGGACGUACCCGCGGAGCUAGCCUACAGCCGCCUGCUGCAUGCGACCAGCCCAGACGCACGCAUAGCAGCACUUUCCACCGGCGCCAGCGCCGCGCCGACGGGGCCAGCAGCACCUGCACCGGCACAAACACGUAGCAGGCGCGGCGCACGCCGCGGUGCACGCGGGGCGCCUGGGCCACGUGGCACUGCGCGUGCCCCCAUCUUCGACUUUGGCGCCCCAGCGCCAGGCUUCGGCUACGCUGCCGCCCGGCCACCGGAGGCCGUCUUCUUUGAGGGCGGCUGGGAGGAUGAUGAGCAGGGCGACGGCGACGGUUACAGCGACGGCGGAUAUGAGGAUGGUGACGGCGGGUACAUGGAUGGCGGAUACGGGGAUGGUGACGGCGGGUACAUCAAUGGCGGAUAUGGGGAUGGGGACGGCGGACACAUGGACGGUGGGUACGGGGAUGGUGACGGCGGUUACAGCGACGACGCUUACAGGGAUGGCGACGGCGGUUUCAGCGACGACGAAUACGGGGACGCCGCCUGCGCGCCGCCAUCGCUACCUCAGCUGCUGGCGGCAGGGCCGCUGCGGCUGUGCAUUGGCGGCGACGGCCGGGCGCGUGUUUUGUGGGGCGUGGAGGCACAUGAGGAGGUGGGGGCCAGGGGUGCUGGCGAAGCUGCUGGCGGCAGCGGGGGCACAGACCAGCAGGGCGGGAGCAGCAGAGACGCCGACACUGGUUGUCCCGAUGAUGAGGCCAGCCUGAUGCAGAUGCUGCCGGACAGGUGGGCGAAGCGCGUGCGUGUCUGUGUCCAUGCGUGCGGUAUGUGUGCCUGUGUCUGUCGGUGUGUGCGUGCAUUUGCGUGUCUAGGGAUGGCGGGGGCAGCUCCGGCGGUACUAGUACUCAGUACACAUGGCCGCGUCUGAAGCUGACCCAGCUCAUCGCCGUUAGUUGUGCUGGGAUAUGUUGCGGUGGAAGCAUCUGGCUGCGCUAUCUUGGAAUGCGGCGGACCGAGCUCCAUCCACAUCUUGCAUACUGUUGUUGAGUUUUGGUGAGGGUUCGUUCCUUAUGUGGCAGGCUGCGGGACCACGUGCUCUCAGCCGCUGGCGAGCGCCGGCGUGCAAGCGCUAUGGCGGCCGCGCCUCCUGGCGGCGCCUCCGCCUCCCGCUCCUCUUCCACCUGCUCUUGGCUGGUGGUGGACGUGGCGGUGGACGAGGGGCGGCCGGUGCAGGUGACGUUUGCGGACGGCACCAAGACACGACUGCCGGCGGGCGUGCAGGUGACAGGGGCCGGCUACGGAUAGAGCUUGACUGCAUGCGUUUUGAGUCGAUGCAACAAGUGGAUGCAUGCAACGCACUUACGUUGCGGGGGUGUUGGGAAAGGAACUUAGUGCUGCGUGCGCACUAUUGAUGAUAUCCACGGCAUCUUGGCUAACACACGCGAUGCUGCUCAUCGCGCAGGUCUGCAUUGGGGAGGCGCUGGCGGCGCUGCACAGCUACGCCCGGGACUGUGCCCGCAGGCAGCAGCUCGAGCGGAGGCAGCUGCUAGGUGGGCAUGGCGGCGGCGGCGCUGGCGGCGGUGCUGGGGGGGCCAUAGACGUCGAGGAAGACCUUGGUGCGCAAGCAUACGGUAAGAUGCAACACGCUCCGUACCUAGCGGAGGGUCUUAUUAUGAUAUUAUUCCCUGGUUACGUGCAAGGGUUCACGUCAUCCGCUACUGACCGGCGCUGACAUGCAUUGUGGCGGCUCUCCCCUUGUGGCCGUAGAGCGCCUGUGGAAGCGGGCACGGCUAGCUUCCACCGUCGUGGUCGAGGGCGCGGCUGCAGGCGGCAUGGCCGCGGCGCCAGUCGCCGCCGCCGACCGCGGCGCCGAUGGCGAGGAGGACGACGGCACGGCGGCGGGCGCAGACGAGUGGCAUGACUUCCAAGACGAGGUAGCGGAGGCGGAUGCGGAGCUGUUUGGGACGCCUGUGGGCGGGGCCAGCGCUAGCGCUGCCACGGGCGCUGGUGCUGGUGCUGGAGUCGGUGCUGGCACCGGCAACGGCAUGAGUGGGCGGACCGGAUCCGAGGUCGCGGCAAGAAGAGGAGCUGUAGGCGGCGAGGACGGAGGAGGUGGUGGAGGUGGGGAGGGCGGCUGGGCGCUCCAAGCUGCGCGGGCUGCGUCAGCCUUCGACAGCGCCAACCGCUGCUGCCCGCCCGGGACGCUGCAUAGGUGAGAGCAGACCGUUGCAAGGCUUAGUAGCAGCUUGUUUCUAGCUCGUCAGCAUGGCAAACAAACCGCAACCACACGCCGUCUCUUUUUCGCAUCAUCAUCUGUGACCUUUCUUGGCUUUCGCUCGUCCCUGCAGGAUCAGCGCCGUCCGCGAGCCUGGGUCGGGCGCGGUGGUGGGUCUGACGUACCGCCUCGGCCGCCACGUACCCGGGGUGGCGGCGGCGCUGGCAGACGUGCUGUCAGACCUGGCGGGCCGAGGGCAGGCAUGCCGUCGAGGCGGGGCCAGAGCUACAGGAGCAGGCGGCGGAGGGCAGACCGCUGCAGCAACUAGCUUGGCUGGGUAAGUACGAUGUCUUGCCUGUUGCCGGGUGGGCUUGAAACCAGCUUGGAUUGCCGGCACCAGUACACGUCCAUGCUCACCGCGUAGUUGUUGACCGCCCACCCCACACAGCUCGCUGCUGCUGCUGGGCCGCCCCGGCGCGGGCAAGACCACACUGCUCCGCGACAUCGCCCGCUUCCUGGCGGACGACCUCGGGCUGAGCGUGGUGGUGGUGGACACAAGCAACGAGAUUGCGGGUUAGAUGGGGCGGAUAGGCAAAGGAUCUAAGCAAAUGCAAGACCUCGACUCAACUAAUGACAUGCCGUUUGCUGGCCUUCAGGCGGCGACGCCGUGCCGCACAGCUGCAUCGGCAGCGCGCGGCGGCUCAAGGUGGGGCGGCGGGACCAGCUGCAGGCGGUCAUGUUGGAGGCGGUGCAGAACCACGGGCCGCAGGUGGUGGUGGUGGACGAGCUGGGCAGCAGGCAGGUGAGGCGUGUGGGCUGAGCGGUGGAUGGGGUUGGGGGUUCAAGUAGGAUUCAAACACUCCCGAAUGGAUCAUGCUUACGUUCUAUGUUGCACCACAGGAGGCGGAGGCGGCUCGCAGCAUCUCGCAGCGCGGGGUGAUGCUGGUGGCGACUGCGCACGGCACCGACCUGCGCUCCAUCAUGGGCAACCCCGACCUCAACAGCCUAGUGGGAGGAAUGCAGGUGGGUGUGCACUUCCAGGAAGACAUAGGCACAAAAAUGAUCAACUUACAGCCAUUCGCUCAACCGCCCGCUCCUACUGCAUCAAUCCAUGCCACAGACUGUCAUCCUGGGCGACGCAGCGGCAGGCGCCGCGCAGGGCGGUGCCAAGACGCGGACGGAGCGACGCGGCGAGCCUACCUUCAGGUGUGUCUGAAUGUUAGGACGCGUUGAAGCAAGGGAAGGAGUUACGCAGCAAGGUGUACCAGCUGUGUGUGCAUUGCUUUCAUGCUCGCUCGCUCUACCGUACGGUGGCCUGUUGCACAUUGGAAAGGUUGGUUUGGUGCUACCAUUCCACUUCAUGGCCUUGACACCCUGCGUAACCCCUGCCACGCCAGAUGCCUUGUGGAGGUGCACGGCGCCGGCGUGUGAGUAACCUUGUCGGGGCGUCACCUACUGCGAGUGGCGCGCGCACAGGUUGUCUGUUAUGUGCCGUGGCUUUGCGGAGAAUAAAGGUGCCGUGCUGACUCACGUACACCGCAUGACGCGUCAACACCGCUUUUUGGCUUCGCCGCGCUGCAGGCUGCGUCUGCGGCCCGACGUGGCCGCCAGUGUGGACGCGCUCCUCGGCAAUGACAAGGGCAUCAGUGGCAGUUUGGGCAUGGCGCAUGCGGCCGGCGGCGGCCUCGAACGCGGUGCUGCCGCACAGCAGCCGCAGCAGCACCCACGGGCCGAGGGGCGGCCGUGGGGGCGUGGAGGAGGAGGAGUGGGACGUGGUGGUGCCCUGCCGCAGCAGUUUUCAUGUGGGUCGGGCCAUGCCGUCCAGGCGCCGGGCAAUCUGAUGGUGGUGUAUGCCAGCGGCGCCGCUGGCGGAAGCCAGGGGGAAGGUGGGCGAGCUGGGUGGGAAGCAGGGCAGGAGGUGAUGCUGCCGCCCAUGGAGCAGCUGCGGUGGACAGGGGCUGCGGCUGGCGGCGGCAGUGGUAAUGGUGGUGCAGAGGGGGGUGGGUCACGCGGGUGCAAAGAGAUGUGCGUGCGGCUGUUGCUGCCCGGUGACUCGUCCACUUAGAUGUUACGCGUGCAGCUGCUGGAAACUGCUAAUUCCAGCAGCUCCAGGCUGCAAGGCAUGCGGGAGCGAUUCUAAUUUGCUCUAGCAGGUGACCAUGCCGUCCCUGCUUUCGAAUGCGUUGUGCGACUGCUGCAGCGGGUGCAGCGGGUGGGGGGCUCGCGUGGUUGGCGGCGGUCGUGGCCCUCCCCACGACUGAUCGAUUACGCAGCUGAGCAUAUAUUGUCGUGUAUAUGCGAGUCAGACGGCUCGGGUUCGGAUUCGAGCGGGCUCGGUGUCUCGUGUAGGUGGGUCGGUGGGACGCUGGGGCGCCCGGGCGCUGGGGCACCGGGGUUGUUGGCGGCGGUCGUGGCACUCCCCACGACUCGUAAGAAGUGGGAACGAGAACCAGGGAAACUAAUAGGGAGCCAAAGAGUAAGGCGACGAGGGAGGAGGCAGCAGAGAGGGAGGCAGCAGCGAGGGACGCGAAGCGGGAGUGCGAGGAGACUGGGGCGGCGCACGUCAUCCGCUGCUGGGGACAGCGGGAGACAGCGUGGGGGAACAGCGGGCAGCACGCUACUGCUCUUGUUACUUCAAGCAUCCACGCAGAACAAAAGGAGCGCUUUCAUGUUUUCCAAGGAUCACUUGUGCGCUGUGGGCGCGAUUGAACUUUGAACUCUUGGAUUUCACAGGCAGGCAAUGCAAGUGGCCUGCCUGGUCAGCUGACUUCACGCCAGCAAGACGUGAACUUCUAUAAAUGAUUCGUUAGAUAGGUUACAUAUCCGUGAUCAAAGGCUUGAGUCGGCGGGAGGCGCAAAAGGCGACGGGAAUGCUAGCCGCGCGCGCCAACAGAGCCGGAGGAGGCCGCGGAACACGAAGGGUAAGCGUGAACGUGUUCGUCUUGAAAUUCUAACAAACUUUGUAUAUCAAGCCUGAGCGCUCCAGCUCGGCGGGGCUGAGACUCAGAACAAUGCGGGGCCGAAACUGGUGCCAGACCGCGCCAAAAGUCUGGAUUGCCUUCAAAUUGUCUUCUAGUUGUCAUUUAUGAGCAGAAUAAGGGGACUGGCCGAUAUGCAGGCACACAGGAAAGCAGCUUCAUCUUAAUUUUGUGUUUGUGUGCUACUUCAGGCCUCCGAGCACGCGACGAAAGUGCCGCUGAGCAAGAAAUGCAAGCUAGAUAUCAAACGAAAGCACCUCAGAGGCUGCCAGAGCCUCAGAGGCUCGCUGCACGCGGACUCAUACGCCGUCAACCUACAGCUGCAGGUGCGGGUCGGGCGUCUCCCAGCCUGGCCCCCGCUACCCGCUGUCGCUGGUCUGCGUUGAGGAUAGCUUAGGCCUAACGCAGCCCUGAUUUCUGAUGUCUGAGCUUGUGGGUCUGGGGCUGCGGAGGUGGCGAGUAGCUAGCUGCAAGUCCCGUCAAAAGCCCCGGCGUGCCUGCGGUGCACAGAUUGACGGGCGAAACCUUCCUGAGGUCUACAAAUGUACUAUCAAGAAGCACGUGAACAAUAAGACGUCGUGCGUGAGCUACCGCCUUCAGGUACGGCCGAAGGUCUGGUUGGUCGCAGCAGCGCUGGCGGCAGACCCGCACGACCGGUCGCUUGCCUUGCGCAGACGCUUUCAACGCAUUGUGCAAACUCUUAAACAAAUCUCCACGCCGUGUCAAACCUCGACACGCAGGGCACUGGCAUUUACAACCACCUGCGCGGGCUAUACAUGCGCGGUUUCGCUGGUGGUGAGGAGGGCGUGGUGCUGCUAGUGGCGUCUACGGAGGCCGCGCCGGACCUGGCCUAUGAGGACCUGGGGUCGGACGGCGAGGACGACGGCACGAUGGCGGGCGCCGCGCUGGCGAUCGCGCGCGCUGGCAUGGCUGCAGCCGACUCGGACUCGCAGCAACAGGCGCGGAGACCGCAGCGACCACGCCGGCAGCAGAAAAAGCGCCGGCGUGACGACACGGACGAUGAGGAGGAUGACGAGGAGGCAGCGGCGCGGUUAGCACAAGAGGAGGAGGACGAGGAGGAGGAGCAGGGCACCGUGGGGACGUCGGGCCGGGGGCGUGCCGUCGCGAUGGCGGCUGGCCGCGGGCGGGGCGGCAGCUACUCGGCGCAGCGCCGCAGCAAGCACCAGCGGCUCCAGUCGCACCCCGUGCAUUUAGACUCGCUCAGCCCGGGCAGUCCAGAUGCUGCCGACGGCGCCGACGGCGGGGAAGGCAACCCACACGGCCACCACCAUGCCGGCGCCGCAGCCGUGCCCGUGCACAUCCACUCCGACCUGCACCCACACUCGCUGGCGGCUGCGGCCCGACUCGUGCCCCACGCGCACAUGGCCGGUAACAGCAGCGCAAGCGCUGCUGCUGCCGGGCUCGGCGGCGGAGGCAUGGUGCAGGCCUUCGCAGAACCGCUGGAUGCUUUUGGCCGCGGUGGCGUGGACGGAGACGUGGGGCAAGCAGCAGGGCUGGAGGCGAUGGCAGGGCCCUUUGAUGACGUCGCCAUCGGCGUGGGCUUGGGCGUGGGGCUCGGCGGGUUGAGUGGCUUGGCAGACGGCGGCGGCCUGCUGGGCGGCAUGCCCGUGGGCGUGGGUGCCGGUGGCGGCGUGCCGGGCGGGCUGCUGGCGAUGGGGCACCAGGCAGGCGGCAGCGGCGGGGGGGCGGGGCCGGUGCAGGUGCAGGUGCCAGUGGCGGCUGGGACUGUGGCGGUGGCGGACAUGCACCCCAACCUCUUAGGGCCUGGCCCGCAGCACGCAGGCAUUCCAGGCGUGGCCCACGCCGACGAGGGCUUCGGCGGCGGGCCACAUCACCAGCACCAGCAGCCGCACCACCACCACCAGCAGGAGCAGCAUGCGCCGCCCAUGCUUGGGCCUUUGUCGCCGCAGCUGCCGCCACUGAGCCUGUCGCCCUUCUCGCCGCGGCUGAAUGCACUGCUGGGCGUCGGGCCAAAUCGUGGCGGCGCGCACCAGCAUGCGCAGCAAACGGUGCGCAGGGCGUCUGAAUUGCAUGCUUUCUUGUGUUUGUAGCUUGUGUUUAUCCGGUGGCGGUGCAGCGUACACUUAUUUGGGCUACCCCUGCCUCACGUGUCCUGUGUACCGCAGGUCAACGCGUUCGGGGCGCCGCUGGAUUUCGACCAGGGGUGGCCGGGCGCGCGUCAACUCAACUACGUCGAUAAUCCGUGGGAGUAGCCGGACUGUGCUAGCGCCCCAGAUCUUAAGAGACGAGUGACAUUAAAAAUGCAAUGAGCGUGUGUUUGUGAUGACUAGUGUACAUCAACUUACAACUGAAUGACAUCAAAACACUCCAGAGCGUGCGUGCGUGUGAAUGUAUCUCAUGUGGCUUUGGUGCGCGGGCCUCUCGCAUUGUUGAAAAGAUUUACGUAGGUCUAGAUAGGCGGCUGCAGGACAGCAGGGAUUUCAUUAGGGACCAGGUUAGCUUGGGCAGUCAAGGCAUCAAUUUCGAUUGCGUAAUACGGUAGAGUUAGAUGUAGUGUACGUGCACAGAAUCAUCAGGAAGCCAGGGCAGGGUUCGGACCUGAGUAUGGGUAUGGAAAGCCUGACCAAGUAGCAAGACCUGUCAACUUGGUCGCGGUUGUUUGCGUACAGGCGUGAUUGUCGCUUCCCCUGUGGCUACAUUGCCUCCACCCGCGUGGUGGCAUGUGCUCGGAAUGCUGUUAUAGCACUUGGGCUGGUGUGGCUAGUGUACAGGCUGGGUCGAGUCGGAGCCCUAGGCAAGAGGCCUGGACAGGUUGCAGGCAGGGCAGGUGGCGACACGGGAGUAGUCAGAGUGUGUGCACGCGUGUCAGGCGCUGCCGGAAAUGCAGGAUAGAUACAGGAGUUAGGCUGAUCAUGAUAAUGUUCGUACGAUGCCGGUGGUAAGAGGCGUGUCAUUGUAACAUCGGGAUUGCUAGUGUCCGUGCGAUGGGGCAUGGGACGAGUAGGACUGGGAGGCUAGGAGCAGGUGUCGUGGAAGGUGCAGGUAGGACGUGGGUGCCAUGUGGAAUCCGCCAGAGAGCAGGAAGGUGAACUGUGAUGUCGCCAGGAAUUUUGCCCCUGGAUUUUACAAUGACGCGGGGGUGCCGUACGGUGCCCCCGAAGUCGAACAUGCGAGUUGAUUUCGGCACGCAUGUCGCGCACAGGAGGCCGUUGCGCGAAUAUGUUUGUGACAGCGCAAGGACAUGCCUUGCGCGUCGUUGCCUCGUAAAUUGCACCCGCAGUGCUCUGGCAUCAAGCACGCACGCGGCCUGUGUAAACCCCAUUCAUGCGUACCCCUACUGCUGCACCCCUCCUGUGGGGAAGCGAACAUAGCGCUGCUGGGUCCCUCACAAGCCUCGAGCUCUAUGGGCCGAUGCCGCCACUGUCCUCCGCACAUGCUGCUGUCCAAAUCACACAAAAUCAGUACACCUCACGCCUCGCAUUGGCGUCAGCGUCUAGACACGAUCUGUCCAGAUGUGCUACCGCCAGGCACGCCCUGUCCACCUGCAGCCGUGCCCGCCCUCGACAGCUGCUCCCAUCCGCUCACGACGCCAUCAUCUGCCGCUGGAUCUGCAGGUGGCACGCGGGGGCGAGGGAAACACAGGGUGGCUCAGUAGGAUGUCAAAAGCACGCCCACAUGCAAAGUCCCCCAAGCGACCUCGGAUCGCAUGCCUAGUACCCAUUGGAAGCAGCUCGGUAGCCCUCGGCCACACAACCCCGGAUGAGCUACACCCGACGGCUGAAGCCCCCACUCACGUAGUCGGCGCUCUCGCAGGCGGCGUACUCGUUGGCCAGGUCCUGCACCACCUCCUUGGCGUCUGCAAACUCCUCCAGCAGCGCAGUGCCGCCGCCCGCCGCGUCCGCGAAGCGCGGCACGUCGCGGUACGCCUGCCGAGGGACGGUAGGGCGGGAUUAAGACGCGGGACCGUAUACCGUACACGCGCGGCAACACGCGCCGUACUUGGAUUGACUUUGUACUGCGGCCACCGUACUGCGGGCGCGCCAAGGCGCGCAUCCCAACGCUAGCAGGCACGUACUUCGACCCCAGCGCCUAUGCGUAGGCCAAGCUCCCCGGACACGCACACUACACUUAUGCGGCGGGCGCCUCCUGCACCCCACCUCCCAGCACGUCCCACCCCGCCCGCCCCCCGGCACGCCUCACCUGCAUGAACGCCUGGCGCUCCUGCUUGGGGCCCAUCAGCUUCUCGUAGUCGCGCAGCACCUUGUUGAACAGGUGGCGGACGGAGGUGUGGUUGGCCAACAUGAGGCCGCUCACGCGGUGCGCCGUCUGCACGUAGGGGCUCUUCUUGGACAGAGCCACCUGCGGGCGGCAAGAGCCGCGACGGCGGCGUAAGCGGGCACGGCGAGUCAAGCAAAAGGAGCGGGAAGCCUUACAGGCGAACCCUGAAGACGCCAGGCUUGGGACACUGGACAGGGCUUGCAAGACGCUGCCUAUGACUGUGCGCGCACCUGGAUGCUGGCUGGCCCCCACUCGAUGAAGUUGGCCUGCUUGCGCUCGCGGAUGCGCUGCAGGCUCUUGUGCACCUGGCUGGGGUCCACCUCGCCCUGGAUAAUGUUCAGGAUGGAGAUGUACUUGGCGUUGGCGAUGUCGCGCGACUUGGUGUGCGUCGACACCUGUAAAGCCAAUCAACACACGGGCAGGGGUAAUGUGUCAUGGAGCUCUUGCCUGGCUCUUUAAGGCGUUGCAAGCAUCAACUGCAGCGUGGCAUCUCAGCACGUGGACUAUUGCGGCUGUUGGAAUCCCGUCUGGGAUGAAGGAAGCUGCGUGUGGGCCGCUGCGCUUGGGCCCGUACCCCCUAGCGCGCACCAUGAUGUUCUUGGGCUGCAGCAGGCGGCGCAUGACGUCCAGCACCGUGGUCUUGCGGAUGUUGGACGUCACCUGCCCCGCCGCGUUCUCCGCCGUCAGCGGCGUGUAGCCGGUCAUGAGGAAGUGGCAGCGGGGUGUGGGGAUGAGCGAGGCCACCAGGCCCACCAGGUCGUUGUUCAUGUAGCCUGCGGGGGACACGGAGUCAUAAAAGCGGAGUCGUAACAGCGAUGAACAAGACAAAGAGCGCGCGAUGCCAGCUAUGCAGCAGUGCGUACUUGCCUCCAUGCACUUGACAACUGUUGCGCCCUUUGCCCCGCCGCUCGCACGCUCCGUGCUCCCUCCCGCGUCCAUCGCUCUCCCAUGCUGUCCCUUCCCCACCCCCCGUCCCUUCACCCAUUACAGCCCCCCUCCAGCCCGCCUGCUCACAGUCCGGCGCAUCUACAUUGGGUUCUCGCACACACACACACACACACACACCCUUCCAGCCCGCCUGCUCAGUGCUCACCCGGGUACCGCAGCGUGGUUGUGGACGCCGCCAUUACCGUGGCGAUGAGGCUGUUGAUCUGCUGCACGUCCGGCUUGUGCAGGUGCAGCCGCUCCACCGCGAUCUUGUCCAGCGCUGUGUUGUCCAGCACCACCACCGCGUCCGCGUGCAGCGUCAGGCGCUUGAGCGUCAGCAGCGAGUUGUAGGGCUGCACCACCACGUCACUGGAUUCGGACUGGUUGGGGAACACACUGCGAUUAUGGAGGGAAGGGAGGGUGGGAAGCAGGGAGGGCGGGCGUGGGCGCGGAGGCGUGGGUGUGCGAUGGGACAGUGUUAAGGCAGGUUGGUGAAGUCCCGCGGGGUGCAGCUGAUUCCCAGACCCCAGCAGAUAGCAAACAGUCUGCAACGGCAGGGCAGGGCGUGGAGGCGUGGGUGCAGAGUGCGGGAGGAAGGGGUUGGCAGGUGGUGCAAUCCGGACGGCACUGCCGUGUUCCACCCGUCCACCUGAAGCCCAUGACACCCACAGCCUGCCCUACGAACCCGGCUGCUGCUCCCACAGCGCCACGCCCAAGUCUGUUCCCAGCCCCAGCCCUAGUUGUGCUGUCCUAACCCUGGGCCGCCGCGCCCCGCCGCGCCCCGCCCCACACCGCCCCGCUUUGUGCCACCCCACCGCACCUGUAUGUCUGGAUCAGCUUCUUGCUGUAGCGGUCGCUGAUGAGCUCCAGCAUGUAGGAGCCCAUGCCGGAGCCGGUGCCGCCCGCAAUGGAGUGGCACAUGUUGAAGCCCUCCAGGCUGUCGCAGUACUCCGCCUCGCGGUCUAGAGGAGUGGGAUGAGGUGUGGGGGAGGUGUGGAAGAGGUGUGAAGGAGGUGUGGAGUGGGUAUGCAAGAGGUGGGUGCGAGGAGGCUGGUGUGGCGGGUGAAGCGCCAGGAGGAUAUAUGCGUGCGCGCGUAGAACGGCACAAGUCAGCCUGACCUCGCGGCGGCCGCGGGAUGCCGGGUGCUGAACUACUGACACGCCCGCCCGUGUCCAUGUUUCCCGGACAAGCACCCAGCACUAGUUUGGACCCGUCCGUGUGUCAUCUCCCUUACUCCCAAGCGCUGCUCGAGCCGCCUCCGCACAGCUGGUGUCCCCGUCCUACCGUGUCGACGUAAACCAUUCGUGUCAACCCAACGAGCCCACAAGGCACCGUCACCAGCCCUGUGCUAUCAACGCGGCACGCCAUCACACUGCAGCCGGCCCCACUCUGUCCCUAUGUGCACGUCGUUCCUCAAAGCAACUCCACUCGUCUCCGUCCAGAGCACUCACCGAUCAUGUCCAGCAACGUCUCCUGCACCGCCUCGCCCUGCGUAUAGCCGCUGGCCCAGUUGUUGCCCGCGCCGCCGCCCUCCUUGGAGAUAAAGAUAUUCUCCGGGUUGAACAGGUUGCGCAGGUCGCUGGUCUGGAUGCCAUUGAUGACUCUGGGCAACGGAUGGCAGGAAGGCAGCGUUCGGUCAGUCUUCAGCGCACGGCUCCUGCAACACCGGCUGCAGGGUGUGUCCGCGUCUCCCAGCUCUUUCUCCCGCUCUGCAGCAACUCUCUCGGCCGCAGCAAUCAUCUUCAGGUGCUGACCAUUCCCCAACCCAUAUCCAAUGCGGCCACUGGCUGAGGGGCGGCCAGUCAGCUGGCUCACCGUGGCUCUAGGUCUAGCAGGAUGGCACGAGGGAUGUAUUGCUCGUCGUCCGCCUGGUAGAAGAAGACGUCUUUCCGGUCACCACCCUGAGACAAGCAUUACACCACUUAGUUGGCUGCAGUGUUGCCGGAGAGACGCAAAAGUCGGAAGAUGGCGCCAAUGCAGGGCUUUACCAGCGUUGCGAAGUCCUCCAGGCGCCCGUCCUUGGCUAUACCAUGCUCUUGACAAAGCUGCAGUUAGGAGGAGAGACAAAGCUGAGUUUGGGGGGCUCGCUGCUUUUGCCGGGCGCAAGCUGUUCCAAAUGUUUGAAGCUCCAUUUCUCGCACCUUGCGCCAGAAUUCGCUGCCUACUUGGUUUCCACAUUGCCCUACUUGUAGGUUGAUGAUUUCACGAGGCAUGGUGGGGCUAUUAAGAGAAAACACAAGUAGACAGGCACGUUCAGUUGCUCUUGAGUCUCGUGAUGUGCAUUUACCCCUAUGUAAAUGCGAGCAAGACGACUCGCUCGACACGGUACCCAAACGCGAGAAUUUAGUCUAAAUCCAAGCUAGCGGCAAUCGUCGCGACCCAUCCUUCACCCAGGCAGGGUCGCUUUGCUAGCCGAGCAGCGUCACUUACAACUACGUACCACCCAUUAUUAUUAAAUCCCCUUGACUUGCCAGCAGCAGGCCUUUGCCCAAAACUUAAAUCGACCGAUUCUCACUGGUGCCAAGCCGCCGCGCUCAAAACAGUGCGCUCAAACGCGCUGAGCUUAGUGACUAUGACAGACCACACGGACGAGGGAAUGGGUGGCAGCGGGAUGUCCCCCGCGCCAUCCGGAGGCAGUAUGGCUGGUGGGAUGGCUAUGGGCGGAAUGAUGGACUGCAACGGUGGCAGCAUUCCUGACCGCCAAGGGAACUUCCAGGGGCACGCGUUCCCCGGCACGAUUUUCAUCAUUUGGGGGCUCCACGUAAGUUCAGCAGCAUUGGCGCGCUGCAUAUUAUUCGUGUUCGGCGUUGAGUCAUGCCUGUUUGUGUGUGCAGUGGUUUAUCUCUGCAAGCUGGCGCUACCUAUGCUCAACACGUACCGGACGCGCCUACCGGUCCCGGACCUUUGAGGGGUUGCUGCCCAUGAUUCCACAGCUCAACGGCUUCAACCGGUGCGUAGGGAUGCUACUACCCAGUAGAGCAUCGGUGCUCUGUCUGGCGUUCAGCGCGCACUUGGGUCACGGGGACUUAGGUCCAGCUGUCAGCUUACGGCCGGAUUACGACACCGCAACACGGUUGGCGGAUCUGGCGGGAAACCCUCGCGGACAGGCCUUUCGACCGGGACGCCACGUAGCGCAUGUACUCUUAGUUCAAAGAGCUUGGAACAGUGUCGUUGACGGCCAUGUCUGCUGUUGCUCUUGCGCAGGUAUCCAGUGGAGCCGGUGCUCAAGGCGAUUGGCGGCCUGCUGCUGUUCAUCCUGCAGAUCACAUACGGCAGCUACAAGUGGGUGACUGGGUGGUGAGGGAGUUUAGGAUAGCCGGUGGCCCGGGUCCAAGCCAGGGUCGCGCAUUUCGUUGGGGAAACGGGUGAAGAGACCUGGCGGGUAGACGGACAGAUGGUGUCUUGAAAUCCGUCAUUGCUGCGUUGCCUAGUCACCCUGCACCGCGAGGGCAUGCGCCCGAUGCACCACCACUCCUCUGGACGCCACCUCCGGGCCGCCUGCUGCUUUCCAGGUUCCUGUACUGCCCGGACGGCGCCCGCCAGGGCCGCAUCGUCACGCAGCACCUCAACUCGUGGUCACACGCCAGCAUGAACCUGGGCUUCAGCCUGUCGGGUGGGUGAACGGGGGUGAAGGCGCGGGGGAAAGGUGAGGCGGGUGGGCGGACCUUGGACGUCAUGGGCCGCGUUAGGGCGACCCACGCCGCGUUGCGGCCCUGUCCACGGCAUAGGCAUGUUCCCAUGUAGGGCUGUGACUUCGGAUUGGUGUGGCGGUUGCGGUGGCGGUCUCUGGACGUGUGGGUGUUGUGCUUUGCUGCUGACGCCGUGCUGCCCUUGUCCACAUACACACACGCGUGCGCGCACAGGUAUUGUGGAGCUGAUAGGGCUGCACAUCAAGCUGCCGGAGGGCACCCACCAGGUCGGGCAGGACUUCAGGAUGGACGGUGGAGUGACGGGGAGCAGCCGUGCGGUGCACAAACCCAGCAUGGCCGGGGAGGCGCGCAGAGGCAUGCGGGUUCGCCUCUUUAUGCAUUCAAAGCCACCGCUCGCUGGCUCCCGCCCCGCCCCAUUCCGCUUGCCUCGAUCCCACCCGCGCCUCGACGCACGCAGGUGAUCCUGUCUGGCGCCUUCUUCAUUGAGGCCAUGCUGUUCAGCCUGCACGAGAAGAACGGCCACCUGGACCAGACCGACCACUGGCUGCUGGCGCAGUGCUGCUGGGCCGGCGCCAUUUUUUCCGCGCUGGAGGCGGCCUGGCCCGAGGCCUUCCUGCUCACCGCCGGCCGCGCCGGGUCCAUGCUGCUGCAGGGCGCCUGGUUCUGGCAGAGCGGCUUCGUGCUGUUCGGAGGUAGGCCUGGGAGUUUGGGGUUAGGUUGGUGUGGGAGUGGGUUGGAAUUAUGCGCCGGGUGGCAUGAUAUUGGUGGAGGUUGCGGACAACCGAAAGGGUGCAAGCAGGGUGCGCUUGCGCUGUGCUGCAGCUGGUCUGGCCACGGCUCUACGGCCCGUCCUGCUGGCUGCGGUUCCUCCCCGCCGCCUUCUGGGCUCCAAGCGCCCCCCCUGAGUUCGCUUGAAUGGCUACCCGCCUUCGGUUUACUUUGGGCUGGUAACUACAACCUCCCCCCCCUGAGUACCAUCCCAUGGAUGGCUACCCCCCUGAGUACCAUCUUGCUCGCCCCUGCGUCGCCUCCAAAUGCCGCUCCGCCAAUUCCCACCCUGCAGGCAGCCUGGUUUGGAACGACCUGUUCAUGGGACGGGAGGACGAGGCGCCGGCAAUGUUCAUGCCGCUUGUGUUCGCCUACCACAUGCUGGUGCUGCAGGCGCUGAUGCUGCUAGGUGCGGCGGGUGGCGUGUGGCUGUGUGGGAGGCGGGAUCGAGGCGGGUCGGGGAAGGAGGGCUGAAGAUGGAAGGGCGGGUUGCAGGAACGAGCGGCAUAGCUGGGGAGGGAGGGAGCGGAGGGAGAGCGUACAGGUGUGAGCAGAGGUGGUGGUGAUUAGGUAAGGUGUAUGGUAUUGCUGCGACGUCGAGUAGGGCGGGAUGGAGAGCAGGAGGGGGCUUGAGGUGCCUGAUGCGGAGAACAUCAGCGGCAAGCCGCAGAUUGGGCACCGUCUCCCGACCCCAUCCUAAUUUUGCCUGCACCAACCAUUUUGCCUCCCCUUCAUUUGCGCCCUGCAGUGUACAUGGUGGUGGAGCUGGUGUAUCGGCGCCAGUACCCGGGAACGCACAACGCCGUGCAGGAGCCCGAGCACGCGCCCAGCAAUGGCGGGUACGAGACGUCGCGCCUGCUGACGGACGAAGACGAGGCGCAUGGCCUCAAGUCCAUCCCGCUAGGCAACCUGCGGCACGAGGUCCGGCGGGUGUAAGGAGGGGGAGGUUAGCUUAUGUAGGACUUGGUUUGGAUGUGGCUGUGGUUGGGAGCAGGUUGCAGCCAGCUGUCAUGCGCGGAGGUGGUGUGCGCAGUUGGGGACAGGAGGGCUCCAGUGCAACACCUGUGCCGCGACGAAUGCAAGAUUGCCUAUUACAAAUUUGUUUUGGUGCAUGCAUUAUUAUUUGUUUCCGUGCGUGGAGCGAGCGGGUAUUGCGGAGCGGCUGCUUCUGCCGAUGCACUAAAUUUUCGCGGGUGUUGACGUGUGCCAUUGUUUGGGGCUAUAUUACAGUGUUUACGGUCAACAACUAGUGCGCAUACGCUGUCUCUAGAAUUGUUGCUUGUAGAACCUGCUGGUCAAGUCAGGAAGAUGUUGGUCCACCGGCAGUGCACGCCAGUGCGGGUCCAGCCGCCGAAGCACCUGGCACGGCGAGCUGUGCUGCUCCCUGCACGUCGUGGUGUCGCGGUGGCGCGUGCAGAAGCUGCUCCAGGUUCGUUUUCACAUAGAUGCGAGUUGGUGGGAGGUUUCGUGCAACGCGCUGGAAAAGGAUCGAAUUUUGACCUGUAAAUAAAACGGGGAAGGCCUGAGUGCCUGGCGAGGCGGCACUUCGGCUUGCGGAAAGGGUUCCGCUGUUUCCAGCCGAGUUUGCCUGCCUUGACAAGCGAUAUUGGUGUAUCCUAUGAGAGUGCUUGCAGUUGCGGGAUGAUUGUGGGGUACGCACACUGACUGCCACGGCUUCGCCACCCUGAAAACCUCCCCACGCAGGGCUAGUGGCGACGGAGGCGCCCCCGCACGCCAUCACGCUGACGCCAGAGGCCCUCGUGCAGCUGCGCAAGCUGCGCGCAGACUUUAAGGAACAGAGCGAGGCCAUGCUGCUGCGCGUGGGCGUGAAGCAAGGCAAGUGCCUGGUAAAGGCUGAUAGGUUGAAGCCUAUGGGGGGCCACGUAAAUGGGGGGCCGAAACGAACGCCGGUCCACAGCACAAAGCAACAGGUUCGCAGCACGUACACAGCGGCUUCAUCUCAUAGCGGUACAGGACUGGUGCCUGACAUGGCAUAGUGCCUGCGUGCGCUCCUGCCCACGUGGCUCCUGCCCCUAGCUGUGUCUUAUUGUGUGUAUGAGUCUAUGAGAGAUGCCUCGUGGUGGUCUCUGCAGGCGGCUGCUCGGGUAUGUCGUACGUGAUGGACUUCGAGUCUCAGGACAAGGUGACGGACGACGACCACGGUGCGGCCGGGGCGAGGGCGAAUCACAGGCGGGGGAGGGUGGCAUGCGGGAGACAUUGCGGAAUUGCCGUUCCAUCAGCCUAAUUCGAGCGCCGCUGCAAGGACCUGACGGACGCGGCCACUGACCCGCGCCACCGCGCCCUCACUCUCAAAGUUUCCCACCCCGCCCACCCACGCUCCCUACCCACCGCUCCCUACCCGCCCUCCUCCCUACCCGCCCUCCUCCCUGCCCACCCCGCACCCGCACCCGCACGCAGUCAUCUCGUACGAUGACGGCUUCCGCCUGGUGGUGGACCCCAAGUCGCUGCUGUACCUGUUCGGCAUGCAGCUGGGCUACUCCACGGCGCUCAUCGGCGGCGGCUUCCAGUUCCAGAACCCCAACGCCACCGACUCGUGCGGCUGCGGCAAGUCCUUUGGCGUGUAGGGAAAGAAAGACGGUGCGGCGCGGGGCGGCGCAGCCGCGGCCAAGUGGAGUAAAGGAUGUUGACAGGCGGGAGGUUGUGGGAUAAGUACGGUAUGAUUAAAGUGGUUGCAUGGGUGUUGGAGGAGCGGUGGAGGAGCGGCGGCGCUGCCGGGUGCAGGGUUGUUUGUUGCUCAUGGUGUGGCAGGUUGCGGCUGGUGCUGGUGGCAGCAGCCGUUCUGCAGCUGGCAGACGUAAGGCCCUUCGAAAGAGAGCGCCGACUUGUGGACGGAGGGGCGGUGCGUGGCAGGGGCUGUAGGCGUGUGUAUGUUGGUGCGUGUGGAGCUGAGGGCAGUAGGUACUGCAUGGGCGUGUAGGGCACCUGGUAUGCGUUAUAGCAUGAACCGCGUGUGUACCGGCCCGAUGUGUCGUCGUAUGCGGAGGCUGUAGUUUGCAGGUCGGACACAUUCUUUGAGGUGCUGCAGUUGUUGAGCUGAGACACUGGCGUAGCACACGGAUGGCUCAUGGCUAUAGAAGUGAAUGACAGCAGGAACAAGAUCAUCAGGAACAUACAUAUUAAGAGCGCACAUGUGAAUCGGCUACAGCACUCGAAGUAUCAUAAAUGGCGCCGCUGUGCGUGCAAUGGAAUUGACGUUUCGGGCUAUCGCCGCCGCGUGCUAUGCGCCGAUGCAGCUUGUAAUACAAAGUUACACAAGGUUGUGCGGGGUCGUUCUGCACGUAUGCACGACGCAUCCAGGCAACUGCUUUCCGUGCCCUGCAGUCCUGCAUGCUCCUGUUGUGCUCAAGGUCGUGCUUAUCACAGCCGCGCCUGCCGGUACUCCGAACAUUCCGGCUUCACAACCUCCACAGCAACGAAACCGCAGACAUACAUGAAUGGCCACUUCGGCACAAAGCCAAGCCGCUGAACCACGCACGCACCUCGUUCAGCUACCACGCCCUCAUCCCUGCUUGCCCGCCCCAUCCCCAGCCGCGACCCCAACCUCCGCUUGCACCGCCUCCGCCCCACCUGCCGUCUUCUCUCGCCCUUCUCCCACCGCCGCCGCCGCCGCCGCCGACCCUGCCGACCCCCGCGCCGCCUCAAUGCUGACGUGCCACGCGCCCGUGCUGGCAUCGCCGUACAGACACGUGGCGGGGUCCCAGUAAAACCCCACGUCACUGUUGUAGUAAUAUCCCGUGCUGGGAUCCAAAUCGUACCCGGGCGGCAGGCCAGCUGGCGGCGCUGGCGGCGCCGUCUGGGUGGCUACAGCUGCAGUCCCAGCGGCAGUGGCAGCCGCAGCGGCAGCCGCAGCGGCAGUAGCAGCCACAGCUGUAGCAGAAGAAGACAUGCCGGGCUGGCUGGCGCCGGCGGCUUUGUGCUCAUCGUCAUCUCCGAACAUGUCGACGUCGUCAUCCACAGCCGCCACUGGGCCGCUCGGUCUGGCCGCUGCCGCCGCAUUCACCGCCCCGGCCGCCGCCGCCACCUCUGCGCCAGUGCCAGCCGCUGACUCCGGCCCCUUGCUGCCGCCUCCCUUUCCUCCUGCCGCCCCCGGCACCGGCGCCGCCGGCACAGGCCGCGGCGCACCCGGCAGCGCCAGGCUGCGCACCACGUCCACGCCCAGCGUGCGCUGCGCCGCGCGCAGCAGCUGCUCGCGGGUGCUGCUGUAGACCUCGAACUGCCCGGCGGACAGCAGCAGGUUGGAGGCGGACGUCAGCGCAUCAAACUGCCGCCUGCGUGUGUGUGUGGCAGGGAAACGAGAACGUGGGGAUUGCGGUAAUGCGCGGGGUAUGUUCGUGCGGACUGGUAGCGUGCGGGCUAGGAAGGGAGGUGAGGAAGGUGCGUUGUUUAGGGCAGACGGCACACAGGCAGGGAGCAGUAGGCAUCAGGCACGAGCUGAGGGAGAGCAGCAGGAGCACAAGCAGCGGCCCACCACCAACCCACCUGGCCUCAAUGGCCACUGCAGAUAGCUGCGUCGGCGGGUGCCGUCGCGCCGCCACGCCUGCUGCGGCCUCCGCCACCGACUGCCGCGCUGCAGGCGACGGCGGCGCAUCACCCGGCCGCGCCUCAGCCCCCUCCUUCGCCUUCUCGCCCUCGCCGGCCGCUGGUGCUGCUGCCUGCCCUUCCCGCUCUCCAUCCAUCUCCAUCGCUACCGCAUCUUUCCCCUGCUGCGCCUGUUGCUGCGGUGGCUGCGGCGGUGGCUGCUGCGCCGCGCGCCGCGCCUUGCGCAGCCGCUGCCGCUCCCCACUGGACAGCGGCACUCCCGCUGCUGCCCCCACCGCCGCUUCCCCCGCCGCCGUCGCCACACCCUGCGCCUGCUCCGCGUGCUCCUCCUGCGCCUUCUCUUCCUCCUCCCCCUUUUUCCUCUCCUUCUUCCCCUCCUUCCCCGCCUCCUCUCCCUCCCUCGCCCCUUCCGCCUCCGCCUUUGCUGCCGCCUCCGCCUCGUGCAUGCGUCGCCCCAGCCGCCGCAGCCCCACCAGCGGCGUCUCGCCGGACUGCAGCAGGUCGGCGAUGCGCUUCUGCAGCAGCGCCCGCUCCUCAUCGCCCAGCUCCGCACCCGUGUCGUCGAGCAGGUGCAGCUCGUAGGGCUCGUCAUCGUCAUCGUCAUCAUCGGCGUCGGCAUCAUCGCCGUUGUCAUCUUCGAUGUCCUCUUUCUCAUCUCUCUUGUUGCCGGCGUCGACGCCCUUGGAGGCAGCAGCCGCGGCGGCAGCAGCAGCCGCUGCGCGGCGGCGGCGCGCCGCGCCCGCGCUGCCGGCAACACCCGCGGCGCCGCCGGCCGCGGCUGCUGCUGAUGAUGACGGCCCAGUGCCUGCCGCGGCGGCCGCGGCUGCAGCGGCGCGGCGGCGCGCUAGCAGCUCGGGGUCCGCACGGACCUGCCUGUGCUCGUCCUGUGUGUGAGGGGGAAGGUCAAGAGUGAGGAGGUAGGGUCAGCUCCAAGGCAACAAUCAAGAGGCUAGCACAAGCAAUGCAGGGCAAGGAAGCGCGCCACCACCACCACCACCACCACCACCACCACCACGCCGCUGAACACCUCAGUCACGCAACAAGGCCCAACUUGCUCCUUCCUCGGCGUCGUCCGCCUCCCGCCUCAUCCCGAUGCCUCAUCCCCCUGCCUCACCAUCAUGCUCUCCAGCCAGGCGUCAGUGUCCUCCGCAUCCAGUCGAUACUCCAGGUAAUUGCCCUGGCAUGUGACAGGUCAGGGUGGGCAGUUGGUUGAAUGGUGGAGAAAUGAACAGGUGGAGCUGGGCCCGGGUUGCCCUACUUUGGAUUUGGAGGUUCGCCAAUCUCUUGCCUCACCUCACCUUGCCCUGAUCCCCUAGCUUCACAUCCGCCUUGCUCUCCCCACUUCCGCCUCUCCCAUUUUCCCUAGCCCCACCAGCCCACCUCCGUCUCGCGUUGCUCCCCUCCACUCACGCCCGCCUAACCCCACUCCCCCUGGCCCCACCCACCUCUGCAUCAAAGUAUCCGGCCUCUCGCUCCGACCUCAGGUGGAAGGGCUCGAUGGGAAUGCCAACCUCGUUGUACAUCUGCGCGCACGCCAGCAGGCGCAUGGGUCGUGGGAGCGGCGGGCGGGCAGGCGGGCAGGCUACAGUCAACACCGACCCGACGUUUACCAAUGCCCAGCAGUGGGGGCGGGCACCCCGUCAGCAGCCGAGCGUAAGCCCAGCCACAUCCGCAGCAGAGACGGUGAGCCGCCCGCCGAGGAACCAGCAGGACCUGACGCCGCUAGCUGCAGUCCUCAGUACAUGCUUGGUGAGGAGGCAACCCAAUCUUACCAUCAGCAGCAGCCGCUCUCAUGCGCCCCCACCCCUGCCCUUUCCCUCACCCCUCCCCAGCCCCCUUCCUCCCCCAGCCCCUCCGCCCCCCCCCCUCACCUCUCAUGUAAUGGUAGCGGAAUCCGGCACUCGCACGACUCCCCGCCCCACCCCACCCCUCCCCCGAUCCCGCGUUCGCUUCCCUCCCCUACUCCCCCGCUCCCCCGCUCCCCCUCCCGCUCUCGCGCCUCCCCUUCCAGCCCCCUCCCCCGCCCGCACCCACCUCCUCCGGCUCGUCGUAGUCCGCCUCCGCCGCCGCCAGGUCGUCGGGCAGGCUGGUGUCCUCCAGGGCGGUCAUGGCGCUCAGCGCCUCCACGCGCCGCGUCAGGGCGCGCCGCGUGGCGGCCAGUGUGGGGUCCAUGGCGCGGACCGGGCCGGCUGGGAGGGAGGGAGGCAGGAAAGCAGGGAAGGGGAGGAGGAGGGAGGAGGGGGUGGGAAGGGGAGGAGGAGGGAGGAGGGGGUGGGAAGGGGGUGGGGGGGACGGAAGGGACUGGUGACGGGGGCGGGCAGGGUGGGGCAGGCGGCGGGGCAAGGGGGGAAUCAGCGGGUCCGCAUCCACUACACCGAGGCUUGCCUGCGCAUGUCAUGAGCCCGGGCGCAAGCAGCAUGUGGUAGGCACUCACCCUCCGGCUCCUGGGCCUCGAUGUCGGAGCGGCGGGCCCGGGCAUCGCCGCCUGCAGACAGGACCCGGAGCAGCAUCGGGUAUUGAGAGCCCAGGAGGGGGUCCAAGAAGGGACCCAGGCGGUUGGCUGGCCACGUCAUGGCGCCCCAGCGAGCUCGCAUGACCCCCCAGUGAGAUUCAAUACAUAAGAAGCCGCACCGUGAGCGCCUCCUGGCAGAAUGGUACGUCGCGGUGCUCCCGCUGCGGCAUUCGGGUCCGGAUUGGCCAGCUCCACAGUCGUGCCCUCGCCAAACCGGACGCGCUUCUUAGAGCGACGUCCAUCAGGGUCAUCAGUCAUUGUAUACCGGAAGAGCUGGAUAUAAGAGUUGCUUCGCGGCAGUGAAGUGACGUUUGUCUGGGCUUGCGUCUGCUUACAAGAAACUAUUGUUCACUUGCAAUGUGCGCAUAAUCAAAUAUUAGUUUUGUUUGGGCAGACGACUUGGCUGCCGGGUGCGAAACCCUGCGACAUGGGUGCGUGCCUUGCUCUGUGCCUUGCUGCCAGCCGAAGUCGUGUGGCCACUCCAUUCAUCUGACUUGAGGGGUAGUCACGUCCAUAGUACAAAUCCAUAUUGACGCGGAGGUUUCACCUAUAUCCCGCAUCUAAAAAGGGGCACGGCAUAACAAUACCGUCACGAUAGUUCGACGCGCUCCACCAGCGGUGCGGGCAUCGCCAACAGAGCCACACGCGUCCAUGAAGUGACUGGUUUUGCUUGAGCAUUUGGGUUUUUGUAAGUCGUUGACACUCCCCCGGCACACGACAACAAGCGCGCCAUGUCUCUUUAGCUCCCGCUGUGUCGUCAGCGCGUUGCGCUUAUUUACUUCCCGGCCAGCAGCAACACCAGCAACCGGCCUCCAUGCAUCAGUGUCCGACCUCCUCUGCCACCAGGUGUCCACCGGUCUGCGGGCGGGGGUGAUGGGGGUGGCGGGGGUGAUGGGGGUGGCGGGGGUGAUGGGGUUAGAAGGGGGCCAGGCCGCACCAGACGCUACACCAGCAGACGGCUCCAACCUCGGCCGUAGAACUACCGUGUUCAUAGACGGUGCAGUACACACGUGGCUGAUGCAUUGUGCGGCGGUCGGCACGGCACGGUUUGCAGCAGGCGGCGGCUGUAGCAGGACUGCAGACGGUACCCUGGUACUGCUGCAGCUAGCGAGCUGAUGGAUGGCCCGGCAGUAGGAGCCCAGCCAGCACCGCACAAUCGACAAGCAGUGGGCUGCGUGUCUGUUCGGUUCGGCCGGCUGGGAAGGGCUGGGAUCCAUUGUGACGUACGGCAGUACGUUGGCUCUUCCCUGUCAGCUGCCACCGCCGCUUACUUCGUGAUCGAUGUGCUCGCUCGGUGUAUGACUUCAGCGUGGCUGCAGUGCGGCUGCAUGGGAAACGGUGCGUGGGUCACUGCUGGGGCAAGGCAUCGGCUCUAUGUUGGGCCCGCGCGUUGAAUGUUGAUGGGGGGGAUGGGCGCGCACGUAAGUAGUCAUGGAUCGCAUGCCUCCUAGAACCAGCGGGUUAUAAACUAUGAACUAGGAUGGCCGUGCACUGGAGUGAUCCAAUGAUGCGUUAGCUUUGACCUUCGUUCUCGUCAUUCACUGCUGGCUACGGCCUGAACCUUGUCUGACUCGCGCGCAUCGCUUUAUUAGCAGCUGCUAAGCACUGCAAGCACAGGUUUGCCCAUGGGUGGCAGCGUGGGGCCGCCGCGGAUAGCGGCGCGCCGCCUCGACCAAGUUCAAGCGGCCUUCCCGCCAGUGCAGCAGUCGGUGUCAGCUAUGCUCGCCGCGGAGUUUCUGCAGGCGCACGUCACACCUAACCUGCAGCAUGCCUCAGUAGCGCAGCAGAAAGCUGUAGCGGACAUCGCAGAAGCCGCGAAGCAGGAAGCCGAGCUCGCAAAGUGGGAGCGCAAGACCACGUGGCUGCACCGCUUGCUGAUGUUGGUUUGGCGAUCGGAGCUAUUUCCUGGCGUCCGUGUCUGGCGCAUGAUGAACAGACACAACCGGCUGAUAGCCGCAUAUCACAGCUGCUCGGCCGCAUACUACAACAGCGCGGCUGCUUGUCUCCGCCUGGCAGCUGCGCAGCUGCGGCUGGGGGCUGCCGCAGGGCCGCUGCGCUCGCGGGCCGCUGCCGCGAACGCGGCGGCGGCGGCGUGCUCCGCUGCCGCGGACCAGAGCACGGCGGCGGCGGCGGUGCAGGAGGAGGCGCAGCAGCGGCGGCUCGUUCUGGCGGAGAGCACGCAGGCUGCUAUGGAGGCGGCGGCCAGGCGGGUGUGUUCGUGGCCGUACCUGCUCCUACACCUGGCGCUGGUACUGGUGACGCAAUGGACGCAGCAGCGCUUGGCAACGGGCGUCUUAGGGCCGUGGCUGGUGCUGGCGCGCGUGUUGGAUCUGGCUAGCGUAAUAAUGAACGGAUGAUUAGGAUGGUGGCUGGCUGGGCGGCGGCGGCGGCGGCGGCAGUGGAGGAUCCCCUGAAUCCCUGAUUAGCCCAUGUCUGGAUGGGUGCGUGCCAUGUACAGAGCCGCCGCCAGCACACACGCGUACGGAUGUGUGCGCACGCACGGAGGCGUUGUACGCAAGUAAGCGGAUGGAGGCGCGGUUGGCAGCAGCAGGUCGUGUGGGUGAGGCACGGUGGCGAUCUUAGAGCCCAUGUCAGAGCGACGAGCGAGACUCAAGACACUAUGCUUUGCGGUUUGAUUUCUGCCAUGCAUGGCACUAGUGUUAGCAAACACGUGCGGACGCAACAGGUGGUAGUAGCAGUAGUAGCAGUAGGUGUGUGCGAUGGGACAGUGUCAAGGCAGGUUGGUGGAGUCCCGCCGGUGGCAGUAGCAAUAUAUGCAUGGCAGUAGCAGGCGCUCCUGCGGGUGAUGGCGAUGGCGGCACGCACGGCAGUGGCUAGGCAGGCCGCUGCAGCACCCGCGCUUUCGAACGUCAGUGUACGGUAUCGCCGCCGAAGACGCCGAGCUACAUGCAUGACAGCUUAUGUUUGUACGAGUCAUUUAAGUGCAAUUUGUGGGAUUUCGGUGGGCAAAGGCAUGGGUUAAGCGCACUGGGCCUGUCGCUAGGUGCCUGAGGAUUAGUGCGUGCGAACAGCAGAUAGAUGCGGCGGGCGGUUGAUCUAUGCUGUUGCGGGCACACAGCGAGGUAGCCAGGGCGUUGGGCGUAUGUAUGUAGCGCAUGCACUUCAUUGCUGCUGGUCCGCCCAUCACCAUGAAGGAGGUGCCUUCUAUAGCUGGCGCCCCCGUUCCGUGUAUGCAGCUGCAUGACUUUGGCGAGAGGUCGGCGAACUAGCUAGUCAACAAUUGAUGCGUCGUGGGGUGCUGUAGGCGGUGCCGCGUGCGUGCGUGUCCGACGCAGUGCGUUUGGUGGCGGCGAAAGUUCCUUUGUUACACACCUAUGUCGUCCGACAGAAGGAAUGCAUCAAACCCCGCCACCCGUAGGGCCGUUCGAGGUUGGUGACACUUGCAGCUCAGCAACUUGGAAAGUCAACACUUAAGGUCAACGAAAGAAGACAUGGAUCGGCGGGGACCUGGGCAUUCAACCGGCCAUCGGUCUGGCAAAUGGUAUUGCCAUUCGCAUGACUAUGCAUGCAUGUCACAUCCCCAGCGUCAACUCCCACUCCCAUCUUCAACUUCGUGCCCGGAGGUCUUGCCGGAUGCAUAGUACCAAAAAGACAAUUCAGAUCAGGAUGACCAUGCAACAAGGAAAGACGUGCCUAGCAACCUCACGUGCCCCCGGGUUCACACAGCUCGUGGUCUUGAUCGUCUCUUGUCUUCACUACGUGCGCCCAUGCACGAACCGUGCUGCCCCGCCGCAAGCCCCGCCGCCGGCAUCUCUGAAUGACUGAGGCAACGGGUCUCCAGCCCGGAUUCUACUCACAGAGUCGUCGCCGCGUUCUCGCUGCUUGAAGCUGAACCCACAACACGCGCAACCCAUCCAUACGCGUUCCACACCGUCGUCAACCGCCAACCGCCAACCGCCAUUCUUAGAUAGUACGGCGGCGCUACUGCCGUGCUUCCUUCCAUCAUCCCGCGUGCCGAGCCGCCCGCAUCCGUCCAGCACAUGAUGACAUGCCUCAGUACGCGGCGGUGCUGCUGGCGACGCCCGCAGUAGUGCCAGCAGCGGCGGUGUCGGUGGCGGCGCCGGCCGGCAGCGGCUUGGCCCUGGCGGCGGCGGUGACCUCACUCGCCAGCUCCUUGAGCGCGCCGAUGACACCGCCGCCGUGGGCGUGGCCGGAGGCGCCGGCGGGCGGCAGCGCGGCGGCUACGCAGCGCAUCGGCAGACGCCGCCGUGCAACAGGGGGCAGCAGCGAAACAGGGGCGGUCAGCGGUAGAGAUCUAUCGAAUACGGGGUGGCACAUGCAACUUGCAGCCGCAACACAACUCGCACACUACUGCUGUCAAGGCGCCGGUCUGCUAGGCGCAAACUACGGCAAUAAUGCGAAAACUCACUCGUGCCGCGGGCCCCAGCUGCCGCCGCCGCCUCCUGCUCCGCCAGCUCGUCCAGGGGCACCCCGGGGCUGCCGCGCACCACGGGCGGCACGGGGCCGUAGCGCGGCGUGGUGUGGUCCGCCGACGUCUGGUGAGCGGCGGGCGGGCGAUGUACGGGCGUGCGCAUGCGGGCGUGGGGGGCGGGCGACAGGCGGACAGCAGUGUUUAUGGGAUGCCGCCAUCCGUACCUCAGGGUGUGAUCGCAGCAGCUCAUGCAGCAAGCUAAGCGAGCAUGUCAAGGCGCCAGCCAGCAAGCACCACAGUGCACAGAGUAGCAAAAUGGCAAGUGCAUUCUCCAACACCAAUCAAUGCCAUCCCAUUUCCACUGUGGUCCACCCCCUCCACCCAAUCAACUGGCAGCCAGCCCACCUGCAGCGGCUGCGCGGUGAUGCGCUUGGGCCGCAGCGCCGCCGACACCUCCCGCGCGUCCAGGCGGGUCAGCCCGCCGCCGACGCCGCCAGGGGUGCUGCCGGCGGCGCUGCCGGCGGUGGCGCCGCCCAUGAGCGCCGCCAUGGGCGAGGCGGCGGCGGUGGCGGCGGCGGCGGACUUGAGGGAGUCUGGUAUGUCGGCGAUGAGGGGCGAGGGGUCGCCGAUGGCGCCGUACUCGCCGCCCGCGUUGAAGCGCUGUGACGAUGGGGGAGGGGGUUGAAGGAUUGCGGGGGGGGGGGGUUACAUUCAUGAUUAUUAAGAAGUGAAGUCGUAGGCAGGUGCAGUCGGAAGGGAGGAUUGCAAAGAGGGUUGGAAACGCGGUACAGGGGAGGGCAGGAAUGGGGAGAGAGGGUACUGAGGGAGGAGCGGGGGAGUGGAGCAAGGGAAGGCUGGAAGGAAGGGUGGGUGUUGGAUAGCAGGGAGCAAUUGGUUGGGGUGGCUGCGGCGGCGGAAAUGGCCGGCGUUUGCCUGGGAGGCGUGGGUGGGAAGGCAUUGCGACCCGCAGUGUGCAUAGAUCACAUGAGGAGUCAGGGCGGCCAGCAGUAGGGCUGUUUGCGGUAGGUGCCGCGGGACCGACCUACCGGGAAGGCCGGCAGCGGCAGCUUGCAGGGGCCCAGGGCGAUGGCGGUGGCCUGUUUGUGUGUUGGGGGGUCACAAUGUGUGCGGGUGUGGCCACGUAGGUAUGUUUGUGCUGUCCUUUUUACGCAGAUAAGUGCAUGAUUUGUCGGUGGCAGCUCUCCAGCGCACACAUGCAUGGGAAACCUAACACCACGCCACACAUGCCGAAAGCUCAUGCGCGCCGCACGUACCUGCAACGCGUCCUUGACGGACAGCAUGGCUCCGGCCACGAAUGCCUGUGUGCGCAUGUUUGUUCGAUGUGGGGUUGUGAGUAUGUGCGCGUGUGUUAAGAGACCACAUGGAAGGAAACACGUAGGCGCACGUGCGUGUGUGUGUGCAUCAACCUGUAUCUGUGUGUGUAUGAAUGGCACGCACGCUCACCUUGAGCCAGGCCGCGUCCCGCACCAGUCCGCUCAGGUGCUGCCACACCAGGUCCUCCUGCUCGCGGUAGGUGGACUGGACCGCUGCGGGUGGGAGGAGGUGGAAGGUGGGGACGUGGGGAGGUGGGGAGCGAGGUGGAAGGUGCGGCAGGAGGUGGGGAGCGUAAGGAGAGAUUUGUGGAGCAGGCUGUGACAGGGAGAGGUGGGAUCGCGGAAAGGAGGGAAGGCUGGGCAGCGUGGGCAGACAGGCGGUGGGCGUGUGCAGUGUCAGCGGCAACAGGGCUUCGUGUGCUUUCCCAUGAGUGCUGCCCACAGGCUUGCUGCUGCCGCCACACACUCCCUCUCCCUCGCCUCACUUCCUUGCCCUUCUCUGCAAAGCUCUGCCAAGCUAGCUUCCCAUCAGGCCUCUCCCCUCUUCUUCCUCUGCCUCCACCCCUUCUCCCCGCCCCACCCAGUCACCCACCCUCCAGCUUGCGCUGGUAGUAGAGGGCGGAGCGCAUGAAGUCCUCCUUGCCGCGAACCGCCAGGACCUGGGGGUGUGCGUGUGUGCAGAGAGAAUGUUUGUGUAUGUGGGGUGUGUGUGUGUGUGUGUGUGUGUGUGCGCAAGGUGUGUGCAUGGGGUGAGCUGUCAAGUAUGGGGGUAGGGAGGGCGAGGCAGGCGGGGGGACAGGUGGUGUCCAGCGGGUGACGAGCAGCGGCCCCGACUGCACACCACAACAGGCAGGGCGGCAACAAGGCAGCAAUGCAAUGCCCUACGUACCCAAACCCCGCACCACCCACACCCCACAAAUCCCACACCCCAUUAACCCCACCCGUUAACCCCGCUAACCCCAUCAACCCCACCUACCCCACCAACCCCCCUAACCCCCCGCUCCCCACCUCGUCCUCGUGGGAGCCACGUGGCCCGUACGACAUUUCGUACUCGUCGUCACUGCUGCUGGGUGAGCUGGUCAGGCCGCCGCCGCCGCCCAUCUCCUCCUCCUCCUCCUCCUCGUCCAGGCCCGCAUGGCCGCGGCGCCCGCGCGCCCCGCCGUAGCCGCGCCGGCGACCCGGAUCCGCGGAGCGGCCUGUGGUGAUGACAAUUCAGUGGAGUUCACUUCAGCUGGAGGUCAGUUCAGCUCAGUUCAGGCAGGCAGCAGGCGCUCAGGCGCUCAGGCGUCCAGACACACAAGGAAUGACUCAGUGGGCCAUCCACGCACACGGCUGAUUCGGAAUGCACAUGCAAAGGCACGGCAGCGUCACAUUCCAUGCUUCUACCCCGACAGCUGGAUAGGGCAAUCGACAUACAGACCGCACAUAGCAGCCACCUUCUCUCGCCGCCUAUUCUUAGUAAGAUCGCUACACCACAAGUCGCGCGCCCGCCCCGCACUCACUGCGGCGCGAGUGCAGGCCGCCGCCGCCGCCCAUGCCGCCGCCGCCAGCCAUGCCCAGGUCGAAGGGGCCGCCGCCGCCGCGGUGCUCCAUGCGGCCCAGGGCGCGCAUGUAGCGGCGGUGCACGCGGCGCCGGCGGGCGUCCACCUGCAGCCGCAGGCCCUCCAGCUUGCGCAUGCGCGUCUGCAGAGGCAGGGAGGGGAGGGGCAGGGGAGGGGCACGGGAGGAGAGGGGCAGGGGAGGGGAAGCCGGCGUAGGAGCACGGGCAGCAGGGGAGGGGUGAGGGGUCAUGGGCGAAGCACGCACCAGACAGCAGGCCGAGGUGAGGGUGCAAGGUCGGCAUACAUGGUUGGCAAGGCUGGCACAUACGCCACAGCCGCCGCUACAGCCCCUGCGUUGCUGUCCUAGCGCUGUAGCACAGCGGCCACCUUCGUUCCGUGUAGGGCGGCGACACACGGUGCCACGGCACACGCCCACGGGCAGGCGGCACAGGGGCGCUGCUACGCACGGCGCAAGGUACAGGGGCACUGCCGCCGGCCGCACACGCGCACACACACACACACACACUCUCUGCAUUUCCCACUUCUCGUGAUUUCUAACCCGCACACACACGGCGCUCCCCCUGUGUGUCUCACCCGCACCACGGCCAGGCUCUCCAGCCAGCGGUCGAUGGGGCGAAGCACGUUGUGGCUCAGCUCCGCGUCCAGCAUGUCGCGCGCGUCACGCAGCAGACCCUGGCAAGGGAGGCGCGCGUGUGUAUGUGUGCGUAUGCGUGUGUGUGUGUGUGUGUGUGUGUGUGUGUGUGUGUGUGUGUGUGUGUGUGUGUGUGUGUGUGUGUGUGUAUGCCUUGGGUGCAGCAAGGCAGGGGCAAUGGGCACCAGCACGGACCCAGAUCACACACACAGCGCACCGCAUACACACGCCUGUGCCUACCUCGUCGAACUCCCCACCCACGCGGGUGGGGUGCGAGUGGCUGACGUUGGGCCUCAGCGGCUCGCACAGCCCUCCCUCCACGCGCUCCCACACGCGGGGCAGGUUGCCGCGCGCCACCACCGGCAGCCCCUCCAGGAACACUGGCAGGAGCGGGGGGCGCACGCGUGUGUGUGUGUGAGGACGUAAGCAAAGGAAACGGGGAAACCGCGAGGAGUGAAGCAAGGCGCAUGGACAGGUGAGGAGCUUGCGUGCACAUGCGUGGGAACGUGGGGAUGUGCGAAGGGCUGCUGCAUUUGCAGUGCAUACACUGUGAUUGCUUUCCGUGGCCACCACCCACCAGGCCGCCACCAACCACACAUACACACACACACACACACACGCCCCCCCCCCACACACACACGCCCGCCCACCCGCCCGCCUCGCACCCACCCUGCACGGCUGUCUGGUAGCGGCGCAGGCCGGUCUUGAACGCGUUCAUGUGCACCGCGAACUCCUCCGCCUCGGACAGCAUGGCGGGGUUGCGCAGGUUGGGUGUGGGCUUGAAGGUGCGCUCGCCCACGUGCAGCGACUGACGCGCCUGGGGGGGUGGGGCGGGGCGGGCCGGAGCAGGAGGGCGUGUGGAGCGGUCGGGUGGGCGGGGGGAUGGGUGGGCGGUUGGGGGGGGAAAUUUGUGGGCUUGAUAAUAUCUAUGGAUUUGAGGCAAGCAGGUAAGGGGUGCGGCGGUGAGGGGUGCGCAUGUGACGGGUGCGCCAGGAUGGACUCGGGCCAAAGAGGUAAGGGACGCACGGGUGAACGGGAACUAACUGGCUGGAGGCGAGGUCAAAGUGUGGGGAGCGAGCCCCUGGCGCACUCCGCCACAGUCAAAGCACGAGUCAACGGAAUGCCAGCGUCAAACUGGCGUCGAUUUAAGGUUGAAAAUGACCCUGAGCUAGCCAAAAUCUACAAAUAACGAAUUUCGCGCCGCGCGGAGCCUGGGACCGGGACUUCUCGGGGGCGAGACCCGAGCGCUCCGGGAGAGCCCAGGGCGCCGCGCCGCGACGGCCUCGCCUCCCGCCGCACCCCCGACCCAGAUGCCCGGUCAACGUGCAACUGAAGUCCGUGAUCCGUCGCGCUGCAGCACGGCCCGGGAGCUCUUUCCACGACGCCCACAGCGCUCCCAUCCAAAGCAGCCCACGGGUCACACGGCCUACGCCACCACCGGACCUGGGCGGCAGCGCCGCGAGUGCGGCUGCCGUUACUACAGCUUAGACCCAUUCACCUGUUCAAGUAUUUUUUGCAUCUUGCCGACAGAUACUGCUGCUGCUGUGGUUGCGGUAGCGCGGCGAUCGCCCGCUGCGGUGGCGACGCUCUGUCGUCAGAGGAAGGGGGGCAGGCUUAGUGCAGCGCGCUAACAAAAUAUCAAGAUUACAGCUGUAUAAAUGGCGUGUGUAUCGUUCAUGGAAAGGGUGCGCUAUGUGGGUUUAGAGGGACAGGAGGCGCGGCGGCCUGAGGAAGGGUCUGUUUCCGCGAUCGGGCCAGCGACACCGCAUGCCCUGCCGCUUUGCAAAACCCGCUCGCGGCCAGCAAGCUUUCGCUGCACCACACCCGCUGCACUGCACGAAACUACACCACACGGGGGCCACAAGAUCGACUAGCUCAAACUUUCCCGCCAACGCAACCAUAGUCCCGCAGUUGAACAUCAAAGCGCCGGUAGUGCUCCAUUUGCUACCAGCCUUGCCAGCGCGCUUUAGCUCUCUUCAGCGGCUGAGCCCGUAGCGGCGCCGUUCCGCAACAGCUGCUGCGCCGCGCAGCCCAGCCGCGGGCGCCCGCACAAGUCGACAUACACCCUCACGCCCGCAGCGCAGCUUAGACUUAUCUUUUCACCUACAAAUCCAUCUCCGAACGUUGCCAUGAACAGCCUUAUGGGCGGCCUGGAGGAAAUGAUGGCUGCGGGCGACAACCUGGACUUUGGCGCGAGCGGCGAGGAGGGCCUGGGCGGUGAUGACGAGGAUUUGCUCAUGCUACAAAAGGCGGUUCAGAACGCGCUGGAUAAGAAGAAGCAGGCGGUGGUGAAGAAACAGGCGGCGGUACUGGAGGAGGCGCGCGCCGGCGCCCAGAAGCGCGUGGCCGCCCUGGAAGCCAUGAUCGUCAAGGUUUGUGGCGUGGUGUGCGUGCGGCGUGUGCGGAGGGCGGGGAGUGCGGAGGCAGAGGCGGAGGGCAGUGAUGGGGUGCGUGGGUCUGCGAUUUGGGUGGCGUGCGUGUGCGUGGGGUUUGGGUUGUGGGGUCGGGCCUGCGGUGGGCGCCCGGCGGUGCUGUAGCUCUUGGUUCCUACGCGUGCGGGCGGGGCGGGAGCCCGACGCUGGACCAAUGUACGCAUGAUGGACCUCACUCUCGUUCCUCAGUCCUUCCACUAGGCUUCCACCCGGGCCCCUGCUACACACUCCCACGCCCUCACUCACCCUCACUCACCCAGGAGCUCAAGGACGCUGCGGCCGGCGUGCGCUCCUCCGCCGCCUCCAGCCUGCGGCGGCUGGACGCCAAGAUGGCGGCCAUGAACGAACUGAGCGCCAAGUACCAGCAGGUGUGUAUGUAUGUGUGUGUGUGUGUGUGUGUGUGUGCGCGCGCGCGCGCGCCUGUGUGUAUAAGGAAAGCGCUAAGGGCGCAGGCGUGCACGCUGGGGGGCACUGGAAUAUAUGUUGAGGGGGACUGGAAACGGGGCUGGAGGGGCCGAGGGCGGGGCGGAGUAGCCAUUGGGACGAAAGACUGGGUAAGCACUGGAUGACAUGCAGGCACACGCUAUUCAACCAACUCACUGCGCGAUUGCCCGCGCUGCAACGCCCUGUUUGACGCGACACUCUCCGCCACGUGUGUGCCGCCAGACCAUGUCGGACCUGUGGAACGAGUACGACACCGAGUUCAGUGAGCUGGGGAGCGCGCUGGAGAAGGUAGGGGUGGGGUGUGGAGAAAGGGAGUCAGGGGCAGUGCGGUUGCGAGGAGGGAGGCAGUGGGAGUGGCGCGGCGCAGCGGGUGGGUAGCUGAGGGUCUUCGGCAAACUGUUUGGAAUGCGGGUUAGAAGCUGGAGGCGGGAAUGAAAGGCGUGUGGCGAGGGACUCUACCUGCCCGCCUGAUGUUUGCUGCCGCGUGUUUACAUCUUGGGGAUUCGUCGUGCCGCUCCGGCGCUGCCUGCUGCAGCACAAAACGGCGGUGGAGAACCGGCGGCAAGGCAUCAAGCGGAAGAUUGCGCAGGUGGCGCAGGUGCGCUGCCGGCGGGUUUGGCAAGGGCGGGUUUCGUGUGGCGAAUCCGACAUACAGUAUGCGGGGUACCAGCAAAGACACAUCUCAGCUCACCUGGUAUCCCACUGCUUUGGCGGACGCAUCGUGUGGUUUUGCUGCGCGUCGCGCUGCGCUGCGCCGUCUCCACCCAUUGCACGACUGUGUGGCUGCUGCUGCUGAUCCGCAGGAGAACGAGGCGGCUCUGGCGGAGGCGCGAAAGAGGGUCGAGGCGGAGAAGGGCCGCGCCGUCAAGAUGCCACAGCUGGCCAAGCUGCUGCAGUCGCUCAUGUAGUCGUCACCAGCCUGGCACGUGGCAGCGCCGGCGCAUGUGUGUGGUCGUGUGGCGGUGUGUGUGAUGCCGUGUGUGGUUUCGAGGUUCCGAGGAUGAGAUGGACUUGUCUGCAUGUGCGGCAUCGGGGGACAGGGCCGCGGUGGGUUAGUGGGGGAAAAUGGUGAGAUGUGUUCCCAGGCGCAGGAAAUUGAGGAGCAAGAGGCGCUUAUUGACUGGCUGUCAUGCGGAGUGCGUGGUGGACCGGUGGUCCGGGUGGUUUGGCUGCUGGUGUGCGGCACCCCCUGGACUGGAUGGAUGCAGUUCAUACAGCAGUAUGGAGUGAUGGGCACUGGAUGGGAGGCACGGAUGGAAGCUGCGUGCCCAGACAGGACAUGGGCGGCAACAGCGACAGCGCCCUAGGGAGAAGGGCGGUGUGCAGUAGCGCAGAGCCAGGACCAAGUUCACGAUGGCCCCCCCACGCCCCCCCCCCCCCACACACACCACCAGGGGGGCGGCACGCGCCGUGUGGUGCAUUGGUGCUGAGUGCAACGACGACAGUCAACGCAGCACACGCAGCCCUCACCUGGAUGGCCGCGUGCAAUCUGCCUGUCUCCGUACUUUCGCUGAUGCCUUGCCUCCGUUUGGGCAGAGGCGCAGAGCGAUUUCCAACUCCAAUGGCUUAUGAUGGCAGGAUGGGCGCCAAGUUCCCGGCAGUGCUCGCUUGCGCAGGCCUGCAGCUUCCAAAACGGUUACAUGUGUGCCCACACGGUUUCAUGCUGCCGCUCAGUUGCACAUGACAAGACUCUUGCGUCUGCUGCCCGCUGACAGUUUAGUGCCCAGCAAGUCUGCCGGUGCUGGUGCUGUUGCGGAGCGUCCCCACACAACGCCAGUCCAGGGCGCCUCUCGCGACGAGGGCCGCGGACAGGCGCAAAAACGUACCCAGCCGCCGGGCAGACCGCACCGCCGCAACACACGACAAUACUGCCACGACUCAUACGCCACCAAGCCUUUCACAAACAUCACCCAUUUACCCCGCAUGCCGCAACGCCACAUCCUACAACUUCCAGAGGUACAUCUUCCCGAGCAGAUCUCAUCAUCCACAACCGGUACCCACGGUACCCGUGCUGACCGUCGCCAGGCGCCUCGCCUCACAACUCCCCGUCACGCCUCCUCCCAAGGUGAAUACUGUGCAGUGAAUGCCCCACAGCCGCACCUACUCUUGCUCCUGUCGCUCCUGCAGCUGCUGCUCCUGCGAUGGGUGUUCCUGCUGCUACUUCUCCUCCUGCCGCUGUCGCCGCUCACGCCCAAACGGCCAGCAGGCUCAUGAGGCCGUAUCCAAGCAGGAACACGCCCAUCUUUAGCAGCCGGUUCUUGCCGUCUGCCAGCUCCUGUGUACAUACACCAACACAUGCAAUCGCUACCGGGAGGAGGAGAGAGUGGGCCACAGCCACAAAGAGCAGAGCGUUUCCAGACACACACACACACACACACACACACACACACACACAGGCUGCGGGCGCCAGCACGCUGCGACCACAUUGCAGCUGCACCCACUAGUCUAGUUCGCUUUCCCCAAACCCUUGUCGCCCUUCACCAAGACGUGUUGCGCCUUGCGCACCUUGGGGAUGACCUCCAUGAACGCCACGUACAGGAAGGUGCCGGAGGCCAGCGCCGACAGGGCCGCGCCCGGCUUGGAGUUGGCGGAGCUGCUGAGGCCGUAGCCCAUCAGGAUGCCCAGUGGCGUGGCGGCAGCGAACAGGCCGAUCACCGUCCAGAAGCUGUGAUGAUGGCGGCAGCAGGGCGGCAAGGUCAGCAGGGCGACAUGGGGGGUGGGGGGCAGGGCGGCAGGCGAAAUGGAGGGGACGCAGGUGGUGACGCCACCGCUGCGUAUCGUCCCGCCCGGCCUGCCCUGUGCAUCUUUGCCCUGAGAUGCGCAGCACGCCCUGCCAUAACUUGCUCCAUGGCACCCGCCCCCGACAUUCCCUGGUCGUCGCAACCCCAACCUCCCCUUCUCCCGGCCCCGGCUCUCCCCUUACGGAACACCCCGCACACACACGCACACACACACACGCACCGUGUGCUGCUGGCUCCGCUCUCCACGAUGCUGGCCCCCAGCGCGUAGGCCGCCAGUCCCUUGUGCGCGGCGAUGGCCAUCAUGAUGUCCUCCGUGCUGCGCAUGCUCACCUGCACAGGGGCAGGAGCGGCGGAGGCGGCGGAGGGGGCGGUAGGAAGGGCGAAAAGGGUGCGGGCUGACUUGUGGGCGCGGGCGGUGGCGUACGGGCGCCUCACUGUGCACCGGGAGGGCCGCAACAGCCACCUUCGCCUGCGGCUGCGGCCCGCGGCUUUUGGCUUGGCCUGGACCGUGAGUGAGUGCGUGCGCGCCCAGUGUCAGCAAGAAGCCGCCGCACCCCAACUCGGUGGCCUGCCUCCUUCCGCUCUCGUGCGCUUCUCCCCACGCCCCUCCUUUCCUCACACGCCCACGCCCGCAUGCACCUGCGCCCCCAGCGCCAUGCCCUCCAGUAUGGAGUGGAUGCACAGCGCCGCCGCCAGCAGCACAGCAGUGGCGAACGACAGCUUGCGGCCGCCCGCGCCCAGCAGCACAGCCACACCGCCCACGUGGCAGUCCUCCUGUGCAUGGGUGCAGGAGGGGUAAGCCGUUCAUCAACCAAAGAGUGAUGGGGGAUUUGGGUUCGCGUGGUGAGAGCAUUGAGGGCAGGGGUGUGAAGUGCCGACAGAGGGCCGGUGGUGAGAAGGGACGCGGCUCGUGAGCGUGAGCGUGUGUCUGGACGGGCGGGUGGAGCCGCUGCGCAUGCAGCGUGCGAAAGGCAACGAAGCCAAACCAAUUGCAGCAUGCACGUCUUGGUACACAUGCAAUUCCAGCUGCAUCACUAACGGCUGAGGCCCGUGGAUGUAACGCACACGUACGCAGCUUCCGGCACCCACCACGCCCUUCGUCGCGGCCGUGACGCUGUGCAUACGACCAGCCCCGUCGUCUCGGGAAUCCCGGUCCCCAGCCCCGCUCCGUAAGUCCGCCAGCAGCGGCUGCUUGACGCUACUGCCCGCUCCCCCGGCGCCGCUGACUCCGGCCCCGCCUCCGCCCACGGCUCCAUUCAGCGCGCCGCUCGAGCGGCUGUGUGACAUCUCGCCCGCCUCUGGGUCCCCAGACCCCAUCGUCGAGCCGUUGCUGCCGCGAUGGUGGUGGUGGCCCUCACGGUGCACAGCCGUGGUGAGGCCGGUAUCGGUGUUGCUGCGCGCGAGCGCUGACGUCAGCUCCGCCGCCGGCAGCUUGCGAUACUCGCCGGCCCCGCCCCCGGCAACGACGCUGCUGCUGGCGGCGUUGGCUUCGGAGACAGCUUGCACCACCUGCGCACGAUCGAGUCACGGUGAGGUUGCGACGAUUACUCUGCCAACUGCACACCACCUGCGUAUUGGUACUCCGGUAUAACGCAAGACGGACGGGCGCCGAGUUACCGUAUGUUGUGUCAGCGCACACCGCCAGCGCAGCGCGCCUGCACCUCCCCUCCCCUCCACCUCCCCAGCCGCCUGCGUCCGCACCUGGUCCGCCACCAGCGUGAUUAUGUACCCGCACGCGGCCAGGAAGUUGGCGAGCGGGAAGCGGC